CAAAGUCUGCCUUCUGCAUUUGUUUGGUCAAUUGAAUGAUAUAUUUGUUGAAAAUAAAACCUUGUUUCGAUGGAAUUUUAAAAACUCACUUUUAAGUAAAUCUUUAUUCACAAGUUUAACAUUUUCUUAAAAGAAAUGAAAAAUCUAUAAUAUGUGUCGCACAUAUUUUAGCCUUUAAUGUUUACAUUUUCUAUCAAUUUAGCUCUUAACCAUUCAAAAAAAUGUCAAAUUAUUGUCUUUAAUGAAAAUGAUUACUAAAACAUCAAUUUUUAAUGUUGCAUGGCAGCCCACGUGUACAUUAUGCUAAUAUAACAUUAUUUGUCUUAUAUGUCAUGUCAACAAAUAAUUCAAAAAUUAUAAAAAAUCAAAAAAUCAAAAUCAAAAUUUAAAAAAAAAUACAAAGUUCAUAUUCAAAAAAUUAGCAUGGAGUACACAUGGAUUGUCAUGUAGUUUGUUGUGUUUAAAAUUUUAACAUUUUAGAUAGUAUUCUUGUUAAAAAAAUUCAUUUUGACUCUUUUUCAAAAAGUUAAUAAUCAAAUUUAACUCUUUUUAAAAGACUAAAUGUCAAAGUUAGCUAAAAAAAAUAAGGGUCAGAUUGACAAAAAAAAAUACAUAUUAAAGGCUAAAUUUGACAUUAUAUCAAAAUAAAAUUAACACAACUUAUUUACAUCAAAUUUUUUAAACUAAUAAUUAUAUAUUAAACUAUAAUUAUAAUUAUCACAAUAUUUUUCUAUAUUUUAUGCUUAUAUUUUUAUUCAAAUAAUAACGUUUUAACUAAUAAUUCUAAAUUAAAUUAUAAUUAAUUUAAUAAUAUGAUAGAAAAUAAAAAAAUAUUUUUAUCAGUUCAAUUAUAGAUUACAAAAGAACAAAUUAUAUAUAUAUUGAAAAAUUGUUUGUUAUACUAUCAAUAGAAAAUUUAAAUUUCACAAAUCAAAUUUAAACGGUAACACUUACAUCUUCUAGAGUGGAGUAAAAGAGUAAAAAUAAAAUAAAUAUUGAAAAAUAAAUACGUAGUAAUAUUGUGCUUUCACUACUAAUCUAUAUAUAAUUAUAUAUAUUUGGGUCAAAAAAUAUAGGAGCCUCUUAAUCCAAAAAGGCCAUUGUCUUCUUUUAUAAGGUCCGGACAAAAAUGGACAAGCCUGGAUUAACAAAACUAUGCUUCAGCCUUGCCUUUUAUAUUAAAUCUCCAGAUUGAGCCCAGCAGUUGUUGCUGUGAAAUUAUUAUUCUUUAAAUUAAGGGAUAAUAUAGCUUUUAGCCCCUGAAUUCGACAAUUAGGUCCAUUUUGGUACAUAUACUCUUUGUUUUAUUCACUUUGGUACUUGAACUUUGCAAGUAGAUUCAUUUUCUUAUUUGAACUUUAAUGAUGUGACUAGUAUUCUGGAACAUGACUGGGUUGGCCAGUCAAACUGAUUGGACUGAGAAUCGAUUGUAUAUUGAUCCAAAUAAAGGGGUUUAACUGAUUGAUUCAAAAAUUGCUCAAAAUCUAUAAAAAUCGAAACUUAGGUUUUUUUUUAAAUUUUUUAUGAAUUUUUAAUUAUUAUUAUUAGUCUAAUAGUUGAACCAAUCAAAGCGAUUGAAUUGGGAACUUACGGUUUAAACAGUUCAACCAUUGGUCUGCUUAUUAGAACAUUGUAUGUGACAUUCUAAGAUUAUACAAUGUUAUCACUUGAAAAUUUAUAUAAUUUUUUUAAAUUUCAAGUGGUGAUAUGACACAACCUCAGAGUGCCUCAUCAUCAAACUUUUAUAAGUUUAAGGACAAAAAUGAAUCUAAUUGCCAAGUUCAGAUACCAAAAUAGACUUAAUUGCUAAGUUUAAGGGCCAAAAAUAUAUUAUCCCUUAAAUUAAAAUUUAGCUUCCUCAUAAAAAAUUAAAGUUGGUUUUUUGAAAUAUCAUGAUCAGAUUGAAACUAUUUUUGGUUGUUGAAGUGUAAUUCUUAGUUUAGUGAAAGGUCCUGGAGUUAAAAAAAUUUAGCUUAGUGACAAAAUUAGUCACUAACGUUUAUAUAUUUUGUCAAAAUGGCUCUAAUUAUAUUUUUAAGCCUUUUUUCCCAUCAAUUUUUAUUUAUUUACUUUUUCAAAUUACUUUUUUUUAACAGAUUUGAUGAAAAUACCGUUAAAAAAGUUAACGGGAUGAUGUGGAAUUUUAUAUGUAAAAUAAUUUUAAUGAGAUGUAAUCUAUUACUUAGAUAACCAAAUAAGAUAAUUACAUGUGAAAAAUAAUAAAAUAAAUAAAUCAUACAUGAAAUUAAAAAAAUAACUCUUGAUUUAAAGAAAAUAAACUUAAUUAUCUAAAAAAGAUUUCAAAAUGAACGCAUACGUUUUUCUUUUUACACUGACAUGUUUCAAGAAGAUAAUUAUAAAUAAAUAUUGAAUGUAUGUAUUCAUUUUGAAACCAUUUUUUCAGAUAAUUACAUUUAUUUUGUAAUUAUUUAAUCGAGUUAUCUAAGUAAUAAAUUAUAUCUUAUUAAAAAUAUUCCAUAUAUGAAAUUCCACAUCAUAUUGUUAACUUUUUUAACGGUAUUUUCAUCAAAUCUGUUAAAAAAACCAAUUUGAAAAAAAGAAUAAAGGUUGAUGACUAAAAAAAAGCUUAAAAAUACAAUUAGAGCUAUUUUAGCAAAAUAUAUAAAUAUUAGUGGCCAAAUUUAUAAUUAAGCCAAAAAUUUGACCAGGGUAAAAUAAUGCUCUGUAUUAAUGUUAAAAGAUAAAAACUAAAUUAAAAGUUAAAAAAUAUGACAUUUGGAAAACGACAAUAAAAAUAACACCACGUUUGGUUCGCUGUAUUGGAUUAGAGGUGUAUUGGAUUAGAGGUGUAAUGGAAUAGAGGUGUAAUGGAAAAGCUGUGUAAUAGCAAAUCAACUGUUUGGUUGAAUGUAAUGGAAUAGAGGCGUAAUAGUAAUCCUGUGUUUGGUUGAGUGUAAUAGAGGUGUAAUAGCAUAAUGAAAAAACUAAAAUGACUAGAAUACCCUUAGCAGAAAUUUGUUUUGGUAAAUGAUUAUUGUUAUUGUUAUUUAAAUUUUAAUAAGAUUAUUAUUAUCAAUAAUAAAUAAUUUAAUCAUAUUUAAACAUAAUUAUUAUUAAUAUAUUUUAAUUAAAUAUAUAAUUUAAUAAAAUUCUUAAUAAUUAGCAUAAAUUUGUUUUGGUAAAUUAUUAUUGUUAUUGUUAUUUAAAUUUUAAUAAGAUUAAUAUCAAUAAUAAAUAAUUUAAUCAUAUUUAAACAUAAUUAUUAUUAAAUAUAUAAUUAAAAUAUAUAAUUUAAUAUGAAUUUACUCAAAUCAUAAUAUAUGAUACUGUAAAAUAUAAAUUAACAUAAUUAUUAUUAAAUAUAUUAUAAUUAAAAUAUAUAAUUUAAUAAAAUUCUUAAUAAAUAAAAUUCUUCUAUGAAUUUACUCAAAUCAUAAUAUAUGAUACUAUAAAAGAAAAUUUCAAAUAAUUAAUAUCAAAUAUGAUUUAAUUAAAUAUAUGAUUUAAUAAAAUUUAAAAUUAUUAUAACUAAUAUGAUUAUAGUUUAUGAAUUUGUAUAAUUUAAAAUAAUAAUUAUUACAUAUAAUUUAAUAAUAAUAUAUAAUUUCAUAAAAUUCUUGAUAAUAAAAAUUUUCUUAUAUGAAUUUAUACAAUUUAAAAUAAUUAAUAUUAAAUAUAAUUAUAUAGUGAUAUAUAAUUUCAUAAAAUUCUUAAUAAUAAAAUGUUCUUAUAUGAAUUUACUAAAAUCAAUAUAUAACUUGAGAAUUAUAUUAUGCAUAAACAUAAUUAACUUAUAUUAAGAAAAGGUUAGAUGAAAAUGAAAUUGUACAUUAAAAUCCAUAUGUUAUAUAGUUUUACAACAUCAAAAAGUUUGAACAUUGAUAUUUAAUGGUAAGAAAUAAAUCUCCUAACCCAUUCCAAUCGGGCAACUGAAGGUAAACUAAAGAAAACGAUCAUUUGAGUUGGAUGGUCGGGAAUUUUACUUAAAAGAGAUCACAUGACAAAUGAAUUAUACAUAUUGUUUUCACAGGUUUCUUCUCCAACUUCACGAGUUUUAGACAUAUCAACAAAGCGAUGCUUAAUUGCUUCUUUAUUUGAAGGUGGGUGGUGCAUAUAUAAAUAUAAUGGGAGAUCAUUAACUUCUGGAAUUACAGUUUGUUAGAAAAAGCCCCUACACUUGAUAAUGGAAACACAGCUUGUAAUAUAUAAGAGCAUUUUAACAAAUGAUUAUACCUUAGGGACUUCACCUCCAAACUCUCAAUCAUCAUUAUUCUGUCUUGGAAUGUAAGAGGGUUAAAUUGCGUUUUGAAACAUAGUAAUUUGCAAAUCAACUUUUUAAGCUUUAUAAAGAUGGAUAUUGCAUGUAUACUGGAAAGGAGAGUAAAAAUGGCAUGAUCCAAAUGGUAGAAGCUGGUUAUGCUUCAUCCUUGGAACUGCAGACGCAAAGGUUAGUGGUUGUUCGCAAGAGAUUUUAUCCAGUGAAGCACCACCGGAUAUAGACAAACUAGUAACCAACAAAGAAAUCAGAGCUGCUACGUUUUCAUUGAAUAGUGAUAAGAGCCCCGGCACUAAUGGAUAUAUAUGACUACUUCUUCAAAAUUGGUUCAAUGUUGCCUGCUUUUAAUGUCACUUUGGUGCUUAAAUGCCUUAACCCAAUCUCUAUAAAAGAGUUUCGACCAAUAUCAUACCAUUUUGUAUUUUAUGUGUAUAACCAUGAUUCAUGCUAAUAGAAUUCAAGCUCAUCUUCAAGAGGUUGUUAACAAGAACCAAAGUGGUUUUUCAUCCCUAACAUACACGUGAACAGCCAUAUGGAGGUAGGAUCUUCCAAAUAUAUAGGAAAAACUUAGGAAAAAAUUUAGCAUGCCUGUGCUGGAAAUACAAGUGAUGACAGAAAUUAAGGGUAAGUUUUGAUACUAUCACUGAAGAUCAUGUCUGAGCAUCAUGGAAUUCCCCAUGCCCAACCUCUUCAUCAAUCCAAAUAACUUGUACACACAAAUAAACAAGUCACAUAUAAAUGCUUUAUUAUAUGUGAUUCAGCUCAAAUCACCAACUAAUUGCAGGUAAAUGAUUCCCAUGGAUGCUAAAAACAGAGACUUCAAUCUUUUCGUAAAUUCUACAAGGAAACCUCUCAAAGUCUAAACCACCCGGCAUGGACUUGGAUGUUAAUAUGUCUGCUUUAUGCCCAAAAUAAGAGGCAAAUAUAAACUAUCAUUUCGUAUAUUAUAAGAUACCAGUAAAAAAACUAGUCAUUUACAAGUCACACAAUACAAAGAACAGACGAGCAUGUAAAUUCUGAAAUUCAAUCUCGAUCUGCUUUGGGCAAAACCCAAAUGUUAAUCUCGAUCUGCUUUGGGCAAAACCCAAAUGUUCUACAUUUAAAGACCUUAGAAAGUAGAGAGAACCAAUCAAAUAAUCAUGAAGAAAACACCAAAUGCCAAGUAUAUAAAUACUGAAUGAAUUGAUUAAUCCAGGACACAAAAACAAAGAAAUCUGAUCUUUUUUUAUUAGUCAAGGGGUUAACAAGGAGUGAAUUUGCAAUUGUGAUUCUAACUUAAUUGGCUUAGCUUCCAUUGAUAAGGCAGCGACACUCGGGGUUAAUGAGGACUGAAUUCGCAAUGGUGAUUCUAUCUUAUUUGGCUUAGCUUCCUUUGGUAAGACAGCAACACUCGAAACUUGCAUGAGUAGAAGGACAAUAAACUAUAUUAACCCAACCGGUGUAAUCAGCUAAACUUCAAGUGUGUCAUUUUCCCUUAUUUGGAAAACAGACAAUCAUAGCUGAAUUGAAAUUCUACAUUACCUGAAACCUCAACCUACAUUCUCUACCAAUUUAUUAACUCAUUCAACCUAUGUUAUUCGGAUUCGUGUGUGAGAGUCAGAUUGGGUAUAUUCCGACAGGAGUAUGCCCAUUUUCCCCCUAAGUUUUUCCAUGUAUUUGAAUAGUCAUUGAAGGAUUACAUCCCCAUACCCAUAUACCGAUAUUUGUCGGAUAAAAAUGCUUCUAACAAAAUGAAGAAUCUGAGCAACAUAGAAUCUAACAAAAACCAUAUUCAUUCUACUCGAAGACCAACAGGCAUCAGUCCUAAGAGUUAGCUCUUUCCUAGCUACCUUCUAAAUAGCCUUAACUUAGCAACACAAUCUUUGUCAAAAAGUUUAGUUGACAACAAAAGUAUCAGUUUCAUAAAAGAAUAAAGGGAAACCAAAGUGGAUGAGAUCCAUCUAAAGGAAGGACAUAAACUUCACACCAUUAAAAUAAGAAAAAUAUCGGAAAAACAACAAUAUUUGAGAAUGAUUUUGCCUGAUAUACACUUUUUCAUCUCCAGUCAAUCCUAGUCCCAUAUCCAAUAAAGAAGAAAUCAAUCAUAUCAUAUGCAUAAAUCACUUCAUGUCAAUUGUUCAUUGUUUAUCCUAUGACAUUUGACAUCUUAAUUCAUACUCAACUGUGAUAAGAAUUUUCAAACAUUCCAUUCCUAUCCUCAACUCAAAUCAAGUUUUGUUCAAAAAAAUACGAAGGGAAAAUUUAGUCCCAUAUCAUCUAGUUCCAAAAUAUUUGAAUAAAUUAUUAAAAAAAAAGACAGGAAAUAAAACUUCUCCGUGAAAUUCUCACCAGAGAGAAAGCCUAUGUUUUUCUCCUGAGACGCUUCCUGAGUUUCUUGUAUUUAUGCUUGUUCAUCUUCUUCUUCCUCUUCUUCUUCACACUAUCUGCCCAUGCUUUUCCGGCAUUAUCAUCCUCAGUCUCUACUUCCUCCUCCUCGACCUCCAUGAUAGCCAUUGUGUCAAACCCAAUUGAGCUAAUGGGGUUCAAUAAAUACCCAAACGGGAAACUUGGGUACAACUUCGAGGGUUCAGUAGAUUUGUCAUUUUCAAGGGAAUUUUCAGGUUGGAUUAAUGAAAAAUGGUGAGUUUGUUGAGGGAUUAGUGAAGGGCUAACUUUUGAGAGUCGAUGUUGGUGUUGUGGGGUUUUGAGAGAUAGGAUGAAUCUUUGAGUUGAUUUGUUUUUGAGGAGUUCGUGCAUGAGAUAUGCCAUUUUUGCAUAGAAGAAAGGUCCAAAGAAGUGAGCCUGACUCUGGAAACUAGACGCCGAGACGAGAAGAAACGAGAAGAAACGAUGACGACAGAAUAAUCAACGGAAGCAGUGGGAAAUGGGAGGAGAAAAUGAUUAGGACGGAAGAGGAGAGGGUCGGGUAGGGAGGGAGGGUAAAACAGAGAGAUGGGGAGGGAGGCCGGAAGUAAUAGCUAAUACAGCGAUUUGGGAAGGGAUUGGAAAACACGGGAAUUUGGGGAUUAGGGGCGUAACCGAUUACGCGCGUAAUACCUAUUACAGCGAACCAAACGCCGGAAUAGGGGCGUAAUGUAAUACGCACGUAAUCGGGGCGUAAUGGAUUGGGUAAUACGGCGAACCAAACACAGCGUAAAUGUUAUAUAUUUGAAAUAGCAGCCCAGCAAGGAACUGCAAGAAUAUUCUUGCUCACUAUGGGGAAUAAACCGUGAAACCAUACAUAGAUGAAUGAUGUCAAUGGCAAUAAUCUAAUUGAUUCAACAUCAAACUGCGUCCAAAUUUCUCUCAAAUCGUUUUUAAUAUUUUUGGGGUUUCUUCAAAUAAUUGAUUACUAAGUCUGAAGCAUCAAAACUUGGAUUCGGUAGGCCUGUUGGGCCAAUUGGUCUUUCGUGCCAGUUUCUUCACCAUACGAAUUACCUGUAAAUUUAUGAACAAAAAUCAUUAAAAUUAGCACAAAUUUCCAUAAGCAACGUAAUUUACUUUAAUUCACAGCAUUGUAAAUCAUCUGCCAUUUUCUAACUUUUGAAUUGAGAGAGAAGGUCAACCAAAACUCCUAAGCCCCACAAGAGGAACAAAACCAUUAAAAAGAAAAACCCAUAAAUCCUCAAGGAAUCAUUAUAUUCUCUUUUAGAGAUGCUUCCAGGUUGGAUGUUUGAACUUGUAACUACUAUAUCAAUCACUGAUAAUUACAGCAAUUUACUCUGUUUUUUUCCAUUUUCCAACUUUGUUUUUUUCCAGAUUUGGUGAUCAAAAGAACAACAAUCAACCAUGUUCAUUUAACUGCUCUUCUGUCUCUGUUAACUGAUUCUUGGAAAAGGCGGCUGUUAGCAUCUGCAGGUCAAAAGGAAAUCAAGCACAAGUUUGGGAUUUUGAAUGGUGAGUAAAGCUGUCUCUUUUUUCUUUCUUUUAUUACAAUCAUUAAAUUAAAAGUGCAUUUGCUAGAUCUACCCUUUUGUUGCUGAUGAGAUUUUCUUGAAAUGGAUUUUUUUUUUUUUUUUGGUAAGGCCACACAGUUGCUUCCUGCUCAACUGGAAACUGAUAGUUCACCUGAGGAUCCUCCACUUGUUUCACCCACAGUCAAACUCAGUGAUGGCAGACAUAUAGCUUACAGAGAGAGAGGUGUGCCCAAGGCCAAAUCUAACUGCAAGAUCAUCCUUGUUCAUGGCUUUGGUAGCUCCAAAGAUAUGAAUUUUCAAGUUCCCCAAGUACUGCCUUUUACCUCUCUUCUCAAAUGUUACACUGCUUUGAAUUUUUAAUGAAACCUAGGCUUGGAUUAAGUGUUAGAUACGAGCAUGUAUUUAACAUUCCAUACAGACUUGAUCACAUUCAAUCAUUGCUGUUUUUAUCUUUUGCCUGAAUAUGUGAAUGUUAAGUGGAGUUAACUUCACAAUUGGUUAAGUUUCCAGGAACUAAUAGAGGAACUGGGAAUAUAUUUUCUGCUAUAUGAUCGUGCUGGCUAUGGCGAAAGUGAUCCGAAUCCAAAGCGAUCGGUUAAAAGCGAGGCACUCGACAUUCAGGAGCUUGCUGAUCAAUUACAGCUAGGACCAAAGUUUUAUGUGAUUGGAGUCUCAAUGGGAUCAUACCCCAUCUGGAGUUGCCUCAAAUAUAUACCAGAAAGGCAAACUACUUUGAACUUUCUGAUGCAAACUAAGCUUUGUUGCUUCACUUCUAAGUAAUCUACUUGCCUGUUGAUUAUCUACGCAGGCUAGCAGGUGUUACGAUGGUAGUUCCAGUCAUCAAUUAUCGAUGGCCGUCCUUUCCCGACAGCUUGACCAGAGAAGAUUAUAGGAGACCACUUGCGAAGUUGUUGUAUUGGGUAGCAAAAUACACCCCUGGCCUACUACACUGGUCGGUUACUCGAAAAUGGUUCCCUUCACCUUCUGUCAUGGAAGAAAAGCCCGUAUUCUUCAAUAAAAGAGAUAUGGAAGCCCUGAAGAAAACAGAAGGAUUCCCCAUGCUUACCAAGGUAAAGAUAAAAACAUUCUAGAUCACCACCGUUGCCGAAUGAUCAUUAUGUUGACAGUUCAUGUUUUGCGCCGUGACAACAGGAAAGAUUACGAGAACAAUCUGUUUUCAAUACACUCCGCAAUGACUUUCUAGUCUGUUAUGGUGAUUGGGACUUUGAUCCAAUGGAACUGACUAGUCCAUUCCCUCAAAACCAAAACUGUGUUCAUAUCUGGCAAGGUUACGAAGACAAGAUCGUUCCGUUCGAACUUCAACGAUGCAUUUCGAAAAAGCUACCAUGGAUCCAAUACCAUGAAGUUGCUGAUGGUGGACAUUUACUCGUGCAUUACAAUGGUUUACGAGAGGCCAUAUUACGAGCAAUGCUGCUUGGAGAAGAACAUCACCUGUACAGACCAAGCGCAGAUAAAACUGUCCCCUAAAUUAUCCAUUGUUUCAUUUCAUUCUUUGGAUAUUGUUUGUUGAUAAAUGUAAAUAUGUGGGUUUAGAUUCAUAAACUUGUGUUUGCAUAAGAUUUGUUAUUCAUUAUUCAAUGAUUGGGAUUUGUUUGCUAUAAAACUUUUGUUGAUAAAUGUAAGCAUUCAAUGCAUUCAUGAAAGAGACCCAAACACAGUGAAAAGAUAAUGAAAGCAUGUGAUGAAUGUGGUGAUGGUGACAUAAGUGAAAGCAUCUGGCGAAAACAUUAUGAGUAAAUUUCACAGGGACACAUGCAUAUAUGGGACACUGGUACAGAUACAACUCAGAAGAAACAGGGCAGACUGAAACUCAAAACUCAAGAUACAAGUGCAACAUCAUCAUGAUUUAGCUAGGCAUAGAUACGAGUAUUUAUAUUGUCAAAUAUUUGACAUGGAAAAAUAAUAUGAAUUUUACAUUCAUAAAAAUGAUAGAAUUUUAAAAGUCAAAGUUUACAUAAUUAGAACCUUUGUAAGGUACUUAAAUGUCAUAGGUAUAUCCUGUUUUCUCUCCUAUUAAUAAGAAAUUAGGAAAAGAGUUAACAAUUGGUCAAAAAUAUAUUUUAUUUAAAAUAAUGGAACGAACUUUGAUUUGGAAAUAUUUUGUAUCAUUUUCAACUUUUGAUCAUAUCUGAUUUCUUUUUGACGUCAUGCUUAGAAUUACCCAUAUCUCUUUCCUAACUCAUAAAUAGGAGUAUAAUACGCUUCAGCGCAUUCGAAUUCACUUCUCUUACCUUGACAACAUACUCAUGCCAAUCAAAUUAAUAAUAUUCAAUUGGUUAUUUUCCUUAAUUUUAAAAUUCUAAAAAAUCUUUGUUUUCUCAUUUGGAAGUUUCAAACCUUUUAUGUUUGUGUUUAGAUUUUUGUGAUUUCUCUUCGUGUUUUUGUUUCAAACAAACUUUAGAUAAUUAUGUGGUUGUUGUAACUACCCAUUACUCAAAGCUGUUUUAUUGCUUUGUAAAUUUUUAAAUUUUUUAAAGGUUAGUAUUUGGUGUUUUCUUAACUUCAAAAGAGUUAAAAAAAUUUUAUUGUGACUUCGCAGUUUUAUAUAUAUAUAUAUAUAUAUAUAUAUUUAAUAUUUUACUAAUUUUAUUGGACAUUUAACAUCAUCUUAAUUUUUUUUGUGGAGCGUAGAAACUCUAUUAAGAGUGCAUUAAAUAUUUUUUAACAAUUAUACUUAAAAAUAAUUCUAAUUCAUCUUUUAUUAAAAAAAUUCUAACUUUUUUUUUAGAAUGCAACCUUUGUAUUUUGAAAAAAACAAAUUAAAAGUGGAUAAUUGUUUUAGGAAAUGAUUAAAAGAGUGGAGUUUUUUUAUGAUGAGAAAAGUUAGUGAGUUUUUUUUUUAAAUUUAUAUAAAUAUCUUAAAUACAUAAAAAAAUUAGUAAAAAAGAAAUAAAAAAUUGAAAGAAAAUACAAAAAAACAAAAUAUAAUUAUUAUUCAUAUUAUUUAAAAUAUAAUAAGCUUACAGCAAUUAAGCAUUUUAAUGAAUAGCUUGCAUAAUUUUUUAUGGUUAUAAGUUUGAUCGCGCUUUAUAAUAAUUAAUUAUGGUUAUAGUUUUCAUAAGUAUUUUUUUAUCGUAAUUGUGAUUAUAUAUAUAUAUAUAAUUUCAAAAAAAAAACCAUACAUAUAUUAAAUGAAAAUACAUUGUGUAUAAUAUAUAAUUAUAUUAGAAUAUAAUUAAUUUAUAAUGUAACUUUUUUUUACACAAUAUUACAUGUAGCUUGUCUGACAAGAGUUUUAAUGAUUGAUUUAUUUAAAUCAAAACAAUUUGUAAUGUAACUUAAAUAAUAAAUAAUUAGAUUUUUAUUAUUUUUAAUUAAAAAUUAUUGAAUGUAAAUAUUGAAAACAACCAAAAUAAAUAAAAUAAUAUUAAAUUAAUAAAUGAUAAGUCAUCCUUUUAUUUAAAACCAGUUUUUAAUGUGACAUGCGUUACAUACGAUCUUACGCGUUUAAUUUUUAUUAAUUUUCUAAAUAAUAUAUUAUUAAUUAUUAUAAUUAGUGUAAAGUAAUAUUCGUUAUUUGAAUUGUUAAAUAUAAUUAAAAUAUAUUAAUAUAUAUUUUUUCAUUGAGUUUUAGUUAAAUUGGCAUGAAUAUUGUUUUUACCAAUAGAGGAGGACAUUGAGUUCGAGUGCGCUAAAGCAUAUUAUUCUCUUAUUUAUGGGUUGCAUUAUGUCAAAAAUAAUAAAUAUAUAUAUUCAAAUAUAUCUGUCACACAUAUUUGAGUAAACACACGUGUGUAAAAAUUAAAAUAAAACUAAUAAUAAUACAACAUAUGCAUAUGGUAGUAAAUACAUCUAAAAAAUAAUAUUAAAUUUUCAUUUAAGGUUUAUUUGAAUUUUAUUUUUUAUUAAUAGUUUUAUAUAGAGUUUAUAAUUUCCAUUUUAUUUUUUAUAUAUUAACUUAAUUAAUAUUUUCUUGCCAUCAAGUUAAUUAACAAUUCAAAUAUUAUAAUUUUUUAAAACAAUAAUUAAACUAAUUUUAACAUCAAUGUAUAAUAUAGUUUUACUUCACAUAAUUAAUACAAAUUAGACUUAUUCAUGCAAUGGGUUACUUAAACCCAAAGGUUCAUAAAAAAUUUAAGAGGAUAUAGGUAAAAAUAUUUUGUCCGAAAAAUGGUAUGAAAAAAAAGUUAAGACUUGUUUAAAAAAUGAAUUAGAUUCGGGCUCAAACAUUAAAGGCCUAAGCCUGAUCCAUUUUUUAUAAUUGUAGUAUAUUAUAUUAUGUUAUUUUUAUAUAUUAUAUAGUUUAUAACACGUAAAAAUUAAAUAUAUAGUAAUAUAUAUUAUAAUGUGAACAUAAUUAAAAAAAUAUUAAGUAGCUUGUAUAUAUAAUUUUAAUAAUUGAGAAUAUAUAAUUAUUAACUAAAAAUAAUAUAAAUAUUAUUAAAAAAUAAUAUGAGUGAUCGUAAAAUGCACUUAGAUUUGUCAUUUAUAAAUAUAGCGAGCUUGAACGAAAUUUUAGGUUCAUACCUUUAGUCAAUUCAGGCUUGGACAAGGAUAAAGUAUAUUAAUAUUACACUUAUGCCUAGUCCAAAUCAAUCCAUAAACACUUCUAAUAUAAAAUAAUAUUAUUCAAAAAAUAAUUACUAAACAUAAUUAAUAUAGAUCAAUUAUUUCCAUCAUUUAAAUAUAAUACUAAUAAAAGAAAUCCUAAUGAUUAUUAAAGCAUUUGUACAAACUAGUAAAUUAAAUUGUUGACUAUUCAAUUUUUUCAUUUGUUAAUAGUGAAUAAAUUGACCAGAAUAAUUCAUAAAUAAUAUAAUUAUAAUAUAUUAUUUAUAAAAUUUUAUAUAUGAAAUAUAAAGUCAGUUAUUGCAUAAAUAAUUAAAAUUUUGUAUAUAAAUUAAAAGGGAAAAAGAAUAGAGUUUGAAUAAGAAAUGCUAAGCAGGGUGUAUUUGAAUGUAAAUUGUAAAGGAGAAUAAUGAAAAAUUGAAAAGAGGGGAAUUUUGGCAUAAACUAAGUGGCAUGUGGCACAAACGUGUCAAAAACUGUGCCCAAAAGUGGGGACCACACCCUCCCUUCCUUUGCAUGUAUUAAGGUGGCCAUUGCAUUGCAGUUACAGUACUACCAACAGUUCUCUUGUUCUUCCUCUUCCUCUUCCUCUUCCUCUUCCUCUUCUUUCCCAACAAUCAAAAAAGUAAAAAUAUAUAUAUUAAAAAAUUCUGAUUUCCCUUUUCCAAAGCUUCUCCAAUGCUUGCAGAUCACAUUCAGGUAAUUUCUUUUUUUCCCCCUUUAUUUCCAUGGUUUCUUGUAAUUCCAAUUCAUAUUAAUUCUCGUAUCUUUGAUAUAUAUGGUUUUCUUGGUGGAUUUUCAUUCUUUCUUCAUGGAUAGUUGAUCUAUGGUCUUGCAUGUCGAUCUUUGGUUUUCAAAAGCUUAAUCUCAUUCUGUCUUUCUCUUCAUUCCCCAUAUCCAAAUGCAUGAUAUUUAUUGACUUGCUGCACUUGCUCCUCCUUGUAAGAGUGAUUUGAUGCGUUUUUUGCCCCCAAAAUAUAUGUUUUAUGAACAAUUUGUUUUAGUAAUGUGUUCAUAAAUUGUGAAAACUAGACCGGAUCGACCAACUGAACCGAGAAUAAAGGUUCAGUUCAAUUUGUGAGAUAUAACCAAAAAACUAGAAUUGUUUGAAACAAAUCGGGUUCUAACCGGGUUUUUUUUUAUAAAUUUUUUUAACGAAUUUUUUUUAAUUUUUUUGGUUAUUUUUUGUUUAUAAAUAAAUAAUUUUUUUCUAAUUUUUAUUAAUUUUAUAAAAACCAGAGGUGCAUUAGAUUUGAUCUAUUUUAGAGUGUUCUUUAGCUGGAAUAUAAAUGUUUUUGUAAUUAUAUGUAUUUUCUGUUUUGGGAAAGUAAAAAUUUUGCUACUCAAGCACAUGCAAAGGGUCAAAGAUCAUUCAAAAAAUAAAUUGUACUGAAGUAAAGAAAAAAAAAAAGUACUGCAGAGAAGAAGAUUAUAGUUACUGAGAUUAUAAAUUUCGUGUCACUUUUCUGGUCUUUUCAAGUCUUAUUAUUAUUUAUCUGCAAUUUUAUAUUAAAAUGUGUUAACCAUAUGAGAAACUUAAGUGCGGGUAUAAACUAUGUAUGAUUUUUGUGUUUUUGUUAUUUUGCAGGAACUUGUUUGAGGUUUAUCUUUGUUUUGUGUUAGCUUAAUCGUUAAGGUAGUGCCUGUACCAUCUUAUUGAAGUAGUCUCGGAAUUGUGGUAAAUAUAAUGGCACUUUUUGCAUCAGAAAGUGUUGCCUAUGGUGGCAUCAAGGCAGCGUCACCAUCGCAAGCACCGCGAUCGCCGCAGCAGCAACAACGCCAGGAAUUAACACAGGAUCAAUCUGUUUCUUCCUUGAACAAACAGGGUUCGAUUUUCUCCCUCACCCUCGACGAGAUUCAACUGAAGAGCGGGAAGGCUUUUGGGUCCAUGAACAUGGAUGAAUUCCUUGCCAACUUGUGGAAUGUUGAGGAAAACCAAGCUCCACCACAGCUCGACCAGAACGAGGCUCGCGAUGACAAAGACAAGGGCAACGGAGGUCAACCAACCCUGGCCCGACAAGGCUCUUUCUCCAUCCCCACCCCACUUUGCAAGAAAACUGUGGAUGAGGUAUGGUUUGAGAUUCAGAAAGAGCUACCGCAGCAGCGGAAGGCUAACAACAUCGCUGAUCACGAACCUCCUCAGCGCCAACAAACUUUCGGAGAGAUGACUUUGGAGGAUUUUCUCAUCAAAGCCGGAGUUGUUCAAGAACCAUCAUCAGCAUCUUCCCAACAAAAGAAGGUGGCAUCUACCCGGACCAAUGGCACAAGUCUAGAAGCAACCUACGGAAUGGGGCAUGGGGCCGGAUCUUCUCAACAGAAAAUGUUGACAUCUAUUCAAAAUAGCAGUGCAAGCUUGGAUGCAAACUUCGGGAUGGGACAUGUGAUGGGGCUAGGAUUCCCAGGCCACCAAAUUGUUCCCAGCAACUUGGCAGCACCAGGCAAUGGUUACGCCGCAGCAUACCCCAUUUUCACGCAGAGUAAAACUAUGAUGGGGGAAUCUUCUAAUGUUGCUGAAAAUGGGAAUGGCACCAACCGCCUGUUAGAGCCCGUCGUGAUACAGAACAAGAAGAGGAUCAUAGAUGGUCCGCCGGAGGUGGUAGUCGAAAGGAGACAACGCCGCAUGAUCAAGAAUCGAGAGUCAGCAGCAAGAUCUCGAGCAAGGAAACAGGUGCCUAUAUAUGUUGUUGUGCUUUCUUCUUUUUUUGCAUGCUUGUAAGAGUGUGUUUUGCCUGUUGAAAUGAAUGCAAUACCAAUAACUAUUAAAUUUGGAGUCUCAUGUUUGUUGAAUUGCAGGCGUACACAGUGGAACUGGAAUUAGAGUUGAACCAGCUGAAACAGGAGAAUGCAAAGCUUAAGCAGCUUGUGGUAAACAAAUACUUUCUUCUGGAAAAGUUGAAAUUACUUUUGUUUUUGUAUAUACAAAUGGUCAAUAACUACCACUGUUUCUGGGUUUUAACUUUGAGCAGGAGGAAAACGAGCAAAAGCGAAAGCAAGAGGUAACUCUUUAACUUUGAUAAAUAACCACUUGAGUUGUGACGCUGGUGUUUUUUGAAUGAGCCGAGUUCAAGGAGUCUUAUUGAGUUUUUUAUAUUUUGAUAUUAUUACAUUAGGUUAUUGCCUUUUAAGGAUAAUUAUGGAGUAGAGCUCAACUUUGAAAUGAGUUCGAAUUCAAAACCUGGUAAAUAAGUUUAAUUGAGUUUAGGCUUGGCUUGAUUGUAAGUAUUACUUUUAGUCCUCUAGUUGGUAGUCACCUUUGGCCCUUUAGUAAGUACACUAGUAAGUACUACUUUCAGCUUUUUAAUUGGAACUUUUAGCCUUUUAAUCGGUGUCACAGUUUGGCAAGUAUUAAAAGGUUAAGUCUCUUGCAAAUAUAUAUAUAUAUACACAAUAUACAAUGCGUUUUGACAACUGAUCUCAUUUAAGGGUGGUUGUCUCUUUAUUUUAAGGAUGUUUAUAUGAUAAAUCUAGGAAAAUAUAUACAGAUUUGAAGUCAACAUCUUAUUGUUUAUCUUUUAAAUGUUACCAUUUCAAUUAAAAUUAUAUUUAAUUUUUAAUAAAUUUAUAACAUAAUUGGUUCUAUCCAUAAUCCAUUAAGAUGCUUAUUUGUUUGUAUAUAUGGUGAAAACAUGAACAGGUUCUGAAAAGAAAACAAUCCAAAUUACCAGCACAAAGAAAGGUUGUUGAUAAGAUGAGGACAUUGAGGAGGACAGUGAGCUUGGGAUGGUGAAAGUGAGAAAUAGAGAAUACAGAAAAUCACAAUAGCUUAGCUUCAUCAGUUUAGCCAUAUCUAAAUAAUAAUUAAGGAUAUGUCCAAAUUAUUAUAUUAGUCACUUUUUCUUUUUUAUUGAAAGGAUCAUGUGCAUAUAUAUGAGUGUGUAAUAAUAAGUACUUGAAUUAAAUUAAUUGUAUCUUAAACUUUGAUACUGCAUUGAUCACCAUCACUGGGAACAACCCCAGGUCACAUACUGAUUUUAGAUUAGCUUUUCCCUUUUAUCUUUGCAUUUUAUUAACAUCUUAGAAACCCAAUUUAUUUUAAAUAUACAUAUAUAUCCAGUGUAUUGUUUCUUUUGGCUUUACUCAAUAAAUAUUUCGUCAUAUGUUUACGUAUUAAAAAAUAUAUAAAAAUAGUUCUUAAAUUGUUUGUUGGUGAUGAAACUUACAAAAAAAAAAAUAGUAGAUUGUUUGUUUCUUUAAGGAGCAAUUGUGUUUAAGGAGCAAUUGUGGUUAGUGAGUUCAUAAAAAAUUUAAAAUUUAAAAUUUGAAUUAAAUAGGUUGAGUUAUUUAAAUUAAAUUUGGAUAAAAAAAUUAAGAUUUUCGGUUUAAAUUGAAUAUAAAUUACAUAAUUUGAGAAUCUGAUUACGUCGUUUCGAUAAAUAUUUACUCAUUAGCUUUAUUUAUAUAGUUAAAUAGUUUUGUAAUUCAUCUAUUAGUUAAAUAAUCAGUUCAUGUAAAUGCAAUAUUAAGUAUAAAUGAUAGUAUUUGUUAAUUUUAUUUGACUUGAAAUUUUUUGAUUUGAUUUGAAAAAUUUUAAAUGAGUUCGGUUGUUAAAACAGGAUUCAUGAACUCGACUAACUUGAUUCGGCUCGAUUGAAUAAGGCAAAGAGUAAAUUGAUAGUAAUGCCUCAACGUCAAAUUAGCAGUUACUCGUAUCAAAUUCAAAGGUUUAUAAAUGAGUAAAAUGUUGUAAAUAUUUUGUUAAGGGUAUCUUUUCAUCUUUCUAACUUGUUUUUCUUUUUAUAACUACCUAUAAACCUAAAAAUUGAUUUAUUCGUCAAAGGCGUUCAUUAUAUUCUCACGGUCAUGAGAUCAAUUCGUAGAUUGUAUAUGUGUAGUAGUUUAAGUAGGUGCGUGUGUCACGAGAUUAGAACUUAAGUCUAGUAAACCGUGUGGUCUUAGGUUUUGGCAUUCCCACAUUGAAUAUCGGGAUAACUUUGAGUAUUGUCGUCAACUUUGGUUUUGUAAAACAUUAGAUAAGUGUUUGAGAUGUACCUCGUUCAUAGCAUUUACUUCGUUCAACUAUUCAAUUUACAUCACUACUUUUCCCCUAAAGUUUGAUGCACAGCCCACCUCUAUCAUAGGUUGUAGCCCCAUUGAUAACUCGACAAGCUUCACAUAAGUUUAUUACACCUCUAACAUUUUCAAAUGGGUCUUCGCAGCACUCCGAUCUAUCAAAUCAAUGUUCUUACCACAAUGAACAUACUUGACUAGUUGAAUGGUCGGCAAUACCUUGGUUCCACCUUUCUUAUCACUACUCAGUAACACAACGCAUUGUCAUUGAUGAGUAUCUACAUAUGUAAUCAACAAAAGGAACCAACAAAGCAUUAAUCUUGUCAAGGAAAUUCAAGUCAAGAACAAAAUCGUAAUCAUCUAAAUGAAUUACUUCAAAGUCUUCUUUACCUUUCCAUUAACCGAUCUGUAACUCAACUCAUUGUGCUACUCCCACAGUUAAGACUUCUUUGGAACUAAAAAUAUUGAUAUUUUUUAGUCAAAAUGCUAACUGAAAGACCAAAUUUACCUGCAGCUUCAUCCAAUAUGAACAAAUCAAAUGCCCUUGUAUCAACAAAAGCACUUAUUCUUCAGCCUGCUAAGUUGAUGUCUACGAAUAUCAAUCAUUUUUGCUUGUAAUCCCUCUUCACUCUAAUAGAAUUGAAUAUCAUUGGACCAAUCUUUAAAGCCUCUGUAACACCCCUUGCUUGACCCGUUCGUCAAGUCUGAGCUACAGAAUGCUAUAUUCAUUGCCAGAGCAAUUACAGCCAAUUAGACAUCAUAUAAUCAUUUAUACAAAUGCCCAUGUAUCAACAAAAGCACUUAUUCUUUGACCUGUGAUGUUAAUGUCUAUGAACAUCAACCAUUUCUGCUUGUGAUCCCUUUUUGCUUUAGCAGAAUUGAGUAUCAUUGGACCAAGCUUUAAAGCUUCUAUAACAUCCCUUAUCCAACCCCGUCAUCAGGUCUGAGCUAUGGAAUGCUACAUUCGUUGUCAGAACAACUACAACCAAUUAGACAUCAUACAAUUAUUUAUUUAUAUAAUUUAAUACCAAUCAUAUUCAAAUCAUGAUAAUUCAAUCAAUUUUGAGUCUGAAUUGUCAGCCCGAGCACGAAACAUGACCAUAUUGUAAAGUUUUUUAAAAUGUAUAGAUCGACGUCGUGUCUUCAUCUAGUGUUCGUCACAACGUCGCCAUCUCAGUAUGUUAUGUUAAGAUGUCAAGCCUUAGCUCAUCACGACGUUAUUCACUCUAAUGGGACGUUGCGACGUCUAAAAUCUGAGGUCGCAACGUGAGCUCUAUUUUUAGUAAAAAUGACCCAUUUUGUAUCUAUUUUAUACUUUCUAACAAAACCUAUCAAUUUGUGCAUCAAAUAUUAAUUUCAUUUAAACCAAAACAUACCAAAAACAUAUCAAAACAAGUCAUUUAAUCAUUUCAAAUUAAACCAAUUCAAUAUAAGUUCAACUUAUUACCAAGCUAACCAUUUCUAUACAAUCAAUCAAAUGCCAUUCAAACAAAUCAAUUUAGUUUUUCAAAUACCAAUCUUACCUAUGCUAUAAUACAUUAAAACUUCAUUUUAUACACAUAUGAAUGUUAUAUACCUUAAUGAUUUAAAGACAUUAAACUUGAACCAAAUAAACCAAUACAUAUCUCAAACAUAUAAAUCAAACUUAUCAUUUCAACCUAGCAUCAUAUUGGCCAUUCUACUUACCUCAUCCUAUUAACUUACAUGACAAACUUAAGCAAAUCUGUGUUUCAACUUCCAUAUUCAUUAAGCAUUGCUAAUUCAUGUAUUAACCAAUUCAUAUACCAUGAACAAUAUGAGAAGCAUCAUAUACCAAAUCUAUCAAAAUUUAUCAAACUCAUCAAGACUUUUAUACAUUUAGAUAUAUACCAAAACACUUAUAUACAUGCCACACCCUAGACUCAAGAUGAUCAAAUAUUUAUCGAUUCAAUGAUAGGAUAGUGUGAGCUUUGGGGUGAUCCGGCUUGACAUGUUCUGCAAGGUAAUGAUCUACAAGGAAAAGAGAAAACAAAGUAGGUAAACAUAUAAAAUGAUUAGUAAGAUCAUAGACGUUAAACAAAAUUUAUCUUAUCUUACAAUAUGAUAAUUUGGCAUAGUUGGCUAGACAAGCACAACACUAAUAAGGUAAGUUUAACAUAUAAUUAAACCAUAUGAGAUCUCAAUCAUAUAUCAUGUCAAUUCAUAUCAUUUUACAACAAAUUUAAAAAAUAUGCAAUUAAGAAAUGAAUCAACCACAUACAUAUCAACUCAUGGUACCAAUACAUAGUUAAAGCUCAAUUUAACAUUUUUUUCAAGUAAACAUCAAGAUUAUUAUACCUCAUUUCGAUUUCUCAUUUUACAUAAAUUGUUUCUCCCAAUGAACCUCAGUAAACGAACUCAGAUACACAGGUAUCUACAUCACAUCAAUUGCUCGUUCGAGCUAAGAAUAUUCGUGUUAGAUUACUAGUUCAGGCUAAACCUUUAUAAUGACACAUCCAAUUGCUUGUCCAAGCUGAAUAUAUAUACAUGUUAGGUUACCUCUACGGGUUAAACCUUCAAAACAACAUCAAGUUACAAGUUCAGACUAAACCUGUGUCAUAUGUAUCUUCGAGUCCUCAACAAAUGCAGGAUCAUAGUAAUAUCUGUUAUCAAUCUUGUAUAAAUGUGUAAGACCCUAUUGGCAUGCCAGUUGUAUCCUAAUAUUUACUAAAAGUUCACACGGGUCUCUUUUUCAAUUAUAAUCAACAUUUUACAAUUUAGUCCAAGUCUCACAUUUUUUUUAAUUCACAAUUAAGCACUUAUAUAAUUACAAAUCAAAUACACAAAAACCUGUAUAAACAAAUACCAGAUGAACUUACUUGGUAAAAACAACAAACAAGUUGAAUUGUAACACCCCAAAUUUUGAGCAAUUGUUUGUUAAAUCCUGUUAAUAAUUAAGUUUUUGUAUAUAUAGUUAAGUGUUUAGUUUAUGUGUUUGAGAUCGAGGAUUCGAGCUUGCCUCCUUGAAUUUUUACUGUUUAUUUUAGUUUAACCAUUAUCCUUGAACUCUCGACUUAAAUUUAUUUUUGCAUUAAUUUGUGUCAAGAAUGAGCCUGUUGGUUCGAUGGUUAAGUUUUUGUUUUCCCUUUGGUCUAAUGUUUGAGUCUCUGUGUAUAGAAUAAGGAAAUAAUUUUUGUUACUUCUCCGUAAAUUGUGGUUGUUAGUUUUAAACAAACCAAUUGAAAUUUCCCUCUUCCUAUUACGUUUCCUCUGUCUUCUCUUCCUCUUUUUUUUCUUCUUUCUUUCUUUCCUUCUCCUUCCAUUGUGUUCUUUUAUUGCCUUAUUUAUUUUUAAAUUUGUGUAAUUUUUUUGCUACUAUUAUGACGGAAACACUUUGUACUUUGUUGUCUUCGAUUGUCGAGAUAAUUGCAUAAGUUUGAUAUGAAUUUCUAUUAGUAUUUGUUUGUUCAUUUUGUCAAGAUAGGUUUUGCUUAGUUUCUUGAAUUUCUUGUUUAAGUUUUCGUUUGGUCUUCUCUUAGGCGAAGAUCGUGAGAACAAUGUUUCCUAAACGUUGUAGUUUUGUGGAUUUUAGUUUUGUGCGAAUGUAAGGGGUUGAAUUUUUUAGUUUGGGCUUUCGUUUAACUUUUCGACGCAACUCAAGUUUUUACUUUAAUUUAGGCAUUUUGUUGUGAUUAAUUGUGUAAUUGGCCCAUGGUUUGUUGCUUUUAGGCUUUGGAUUAAUCUCGGUUGCUUCUACUUCGAGACCAUGUCAGGUGUGUAAUGGAAACUCAGUUUUUUGCAAGUUUCAAAUGUCGAAAAAUAGGGCUGUCAAUGCCAUACAACCUUGUAACUCAGUGUUUUCGAAUUGGAGGCACAUGGGCUAGGGACACUGGUGUGUGUCCAGGCCUUGUAAGUCACUGUUUUAGAUUUAGGGUCACACGAGUCAGGGACAUGAGUGUAUGUCUAGGCUGUGUGAGGGGGUUGUGAGUCACUCAGGCAUAUGCUUGGCCGUGUGCCAAACAUUGAAAUUGUAAUCUGACAACUUGUUAGUAAAUAAUUUGUUGUUCUGAUAUAUAUAUGCGUUUGUUAUGAGAUUUGAUAAGUAAGCAUGAUAGCAUUACAUGAGUACGAUCUGAAAUUGUAUAACUGCAUACUUAUUUAUGAUAUUUGUUAAAUCUACAUCUGCAUCGAGAUUGGGAUUGUAUAAAGAAGGAAGUGUGGGCAGUUAAUGAUCUGCCAAAUCUAGUGGGUAAGCUGCAUAUAUUUUUUAUUCUGGCGAGUGAUCGUAUUCUAGUCUGGCAGUUAGGCUAUGAUUGUUCUAAAACGUGACAUACAGUCACUAUAUUGUGUGUAGGGAUGGAUAGGUAUUUGAUACCAUAUAUGAUGUGUAGGGAUGGUCGGAGAUGGUGUGUAACGGUUGGGUAGAAAUUUUCAUCUGUAUUUGAAUUGUUCUGCAACAGUAUCUGAUAUUCUCUGUUUCUAAUUCUGUAUCUAAGUCUGAGAAAUGAUUGAUUUAUGAGAAAUUGAAAAUAUAUCUGUGUUACUACCGUUUAUUAUCGAAUGUAAGUUACACAUCGAAUUAAAACUCAUUUAGUAUAUUUGUUUAGAUUACAAGUGACCCACAGACUUAUGCGGGGUAGCGUAACAGGAGCUCCAUCAAUACUCCUUAACUAUUUUAGUGUUUUUAAUUAUUUAUGCUACUAUGUGUUUAUUUUGGAUUGCAUUUAGAAAGUUGGAACUAUUAUGUUUGGUUUGAUCAAUUAUGUGAUUUUUAAAAGUUAAAUUUCUAAGUGGUUAAAGAUUGGUUUGUUUUAAUUAAAUUUCUAAGUGGUUAAAGAUUGGUUUGUUUUAAUAUCAAUUGAUGUAGCCCCCAGACUUGGUCGUUACUUAUAGGCCAGAUAUAGGGUGUUACAUGAACCUUCAAGGCUAAUCAAUAAUUUUGACUUUUCCUUGAUUAUCUCCGAUUUGAUUCAAUUCUUGAUCUAAACAAUUAUUUUAAAUAAUUCAUCAAUACCAAACAUUUUUAUAUUAUGUCAUGAUAUGUAUGAACCUAUAUAAUUUUGUAUUUUAGAUACCCAUAAAGUUUUAUAUUUUAUUCAAUUUAGUCUCUAAAACUAAAAUAACCAUAACUUUCAAUUUUGAGCUUCAGUUGUAAAACUGAUUUAAAUUACAUCCCUUAGGGAUCCUUUACUAUCUAUUAUUACUAAAAUUUCACAUCAAUAUUAACGAACCUGGUUUACGAAAAUAGGGUUCUAAAAUUGUCUUUUCCGGUACCAUUGAAAAUCGAGCCUGUUAUAGGCUCGGUAAACUGCUCCAAGUUGGUUUUCUCGUUGAAGUUUUACUCCUCUAAGGUGAUGGAAGCUCAGUGUCACAACAUCCACACCAUCACGGUUUGGCCAUAGUUGUCUCCCUAUACAAACUCAAAUACACUAUUAGACAUCCAAUAACACCAUUUUGCCAAUUUGGGUCUCAAAAAGAUUAAAACUAAAGAAAAAAAGAUCAUUAAUACUAAAAACUAAAAAUCAACAAAAAGCAUAGAGAAGACUUGUAAAUUGCUUGAGAACGAACUCAUCAAGUGUUCUAAAGAGCUUAAUUUAACGUAUCAAAUUACGAUAGAUCACUCAUUAUGGCAUAACUUUGCCAAACAUUACCUUGCCAAGAGCUGUACUUCGUCAAAGCAUAACAUGCGGAGUUCUUUUGAUCUAUCUUAUCGAGGAUAGGUGAUAUGUCCAUCCUUGCAUGGUUCACACAUGAGACCUCGCCUAAUCCUUUUAAGAUGGCUACCCUGCUCCUAAAGUGAUCAACUUUGACAAGACCUGCUUCAUAUAUGUGUCAAGACCUAAAGCUAAGAGAGGGUCACCCUCACCUAUAAAUACUCAUCCUUAACCUUGGAAAAACCUUAUGUAUUUUCUACUAUUCUCUUUUAUUCUGGAAAAUACAACACAUUAAGUUGGUAAUUCCAUCUCUCAUGCCUUUUAACAUGCUCAAAAUCGUAUGAACUAUCAUCUCCUCCUCUCAUCUCCAUUUUUCCAUCAAUAAGAAUUAUAAUUUAUAUGAAUAAAAAAUAACAAUAUUCUAUAUUUGUUUAAAAUAUACAUGAAAAUGUAUAAAAAAAAAGUAAAAGAAAAUAACAGAAAUAUCAAUUACUUUGAAAUGAAACUUUCUUGAAAAAUAAUCCUCAAGUGAACUAAAUAACAAUCAUUUAUUUUAAUUUUGAUUACAAAAACAAAAUUACAUUUUUUAAACAAGAAAAAUUGAAUCAAGGUGCGAAUUGUAAAUUUUAUAAAAUUAGAAAGGUCGAAGUGCAAUUUACUCAAUAACAAUAAUCUAUUAGUCUACGCUAAAGGAAAUUUUAUACUUUUAUAUUUUACACAUUAUCGUUAACAUAAUAAUAAUCUCUCCCGCUUUUCUUUCUUUAUUUUUUUUAAUCUUUUUUCCCUAAUUCUUUUCCUGAUUUUGAUCUGCGAUUUGCUUCGUUGAUUCUCAGGUAAUUGAAUCUUUCAACACUCUAAUUUCCUUUUCUUUUUCCUUAAUGUAAAAAAAAUUCGCUCUUUUAUUUGUAAUUUUGUUUCAAAGGUAAGUAAUGAGUUUUCUCAUUUGUCUUACGUUAUGAUCAUAAACGGAUUUCAUUUUCUUGAAGUUCUUUGAAUUUUUUUUUUUUAGGUUUUAGAUGGUCGUUUUUCUUUUUGCUGAUUUACUUGAACUUAAAUGGGGAUUUUUAUAUAUGGCGUAAAUUAAAUAACAGUAAACAGGGAUUUAAAUUGCCGUCGCGGUCGCCUUUUCGGUCGCAUUGCGUUUAUCGCGGUUGCGGACAUAACGGAUGCUAUUGCGGUCAUUGCAGGUAUCGCGGUCGUGAAUUUUACAUUACUUAUUGUGUAUUGCGGGUAUAGCGGGUUUCGGCAGUAGCGGUUUCGGACGGUGCCGCUACCGCUAUAUAACGGCCACUAUUUCGGUAACGGACCGCUAUUUAAAUCCCUGGUUUACUGCUUUAUUCGUUGAAAAAAUUAGCAUAUGGGGGGGUGAAAUAGUUAGGGUUUUACGUUGUAUAUAAAAAAGAUCAUGUUUUAUAUAUGUUUUUCCAUAUGAAGUUAAGUUUAAUUUUAUGCUCAAAAGAAUUGUUGAUUCAUUUUGCUUAGGUUCUGUUUGCUUGUUGCUUUGCUUCUUAAAAUGUUGCCAAGAACCAAGAUUAAGAAUGAUCGAAGAAAUAAAGUGCAACACUACAUUUAACUUAAUUGUUCUGUAUAAAAGUAGUCAUAACUUCUAAUUUUCAAGCCUUCAAAUUCUAAAGCAAAAGGCAAGAACUAAACAGUAUGUAAGGGGAUAAAAGAAUGAGUUACUUGGCUUUUGUGGAUAAUAAUCUUCAGUUCAUUCGGGCAGACCUGGAAGUUCAAAGUCAGGAGAUUCACAUAGAGGGAAAAAAUGUCUAGUUCUGGGAAUAAUUUAGGCCGAGGGAGUGCUGGAUUGCCCUCGGAUAUUCCACCAUUGCCUCAGUGUUUGCCUUUGGAGCCAAUUACAUUGGGGAGUCAGAAAUAUACACGGUCUGGAGAAUUGAGCCGGGUUCUGGGUAUUCCACUUCGCAGUAGUACUUCAGAGGAUCACUCUUUUGGAGUUUCACACUCCAAACUUUCCCCUCCCGUGGCAACAGAGGAGCUUAAGGAUUUUAAGGAAAGUGUUCAAGAUGCCUCAAGAAAGGCCAGGUAUAGUCCCUUUCUUUUCUGUGACAUGGUGCAUGUGCACACUAUGUUUUCUGUCCAAUGUAGACAUCACAUCUUCACAGGUCUUUGGCACUUGAGUAUUUCUCUCAGGUGUACAAAAGGAACCUGCCAUCAAUUGUAGUGCUUCUUCUCAUAGUUUUCUUUUCUGCUCUUCUACAUUGUGCAUACUUUAUCACUGUUAUGAUUCCUGAUAUUUAUGAGUUGUGGACACCUGACAUCGUUUGGUUAUUGAAUCUGCUUUGUCUUUCUAUCAGGGAAAGAGUGAAAAAAUUACGUGAGUCAAUUUCUAAAUUGGAAAGGUAUAAAGAAGCUUUAGGCUCAAAGAAGCUGCAACGAAGUGAUAUUUCGAGUGAGAGAACUAGUGGAGCAAGCGUUGCAAAGAUGGGAAGCCAGAUCCAUAGAAACACUCAUGAAAUAGUGACUCAAAGAUUGGAAGAUAGGCCAAAGGUUGUGGGGCUCAACAAGCGUGUUCGCACAUCAUUUUCCGAUUUACGGGUUUGUAUUUCACUGUGAUUGCUGAAAUAUAUUUUGCUUUAACCUUUCUUUGCAUACAUUCUUGAACAAAGAAAAACCAGCUGAUUUUUCUUCAACAUUGAGCAAAGUUUUUUGUUGCCUUUCAGUCACCUUCUUUUGGUUGUAACCAUGAUUGAAUGUGCUAUUUUAUUUUUCAAAAGAAGGGAAUAGGCCAGAAACAUAACACAUAGUUUGACUUGAUCCUUUUUAUUUCUCUUAAUUUUUGGCUUUUGCUUCAUUAAUUGUAUUUCCCUUGUUUUCUCUUCAUUUUCUUUUUCAUGAGAGCAGGCUGAUAACAGGACUGCUGUGAAUCCAAGGCAGCAGGGGAUGAUAGAACAGGAUGGUGAUUUGCUUCCAGCUGUUAAUGGGGGUUCUGCACAAAAUGAAGAAAAGAUCCGCAGACUGCCAGGUGAUGGAUGGGAGACAAAGAUGAAAAGGAAACGGUCUGUUGCAGCUGUAGGAAAUAGAGUUGCCAAUGCUGGUCGAGACAUAAAACGUGCUAUGCAACUGAAGCUGAGUUCUGAAUCAAAGUUGCGGUAAUGUGAUACACUGGGUUUCAGGUGAUUGUUGACUGAAUUUGCUUCCUAGUUGUUGAUAUAGUUUGGCUUAGGCUUGAGCUAGAUCUCUUAUCUAAUCAUGUAUAUAUUGCUGAUGACAAAAAACUGGCUUUUGUGACUGUCUAUGGAUGUGCUUUCAUGGUUAUUGAUCAAACUGUCAGUGUCAUAGUAAUUGCAGAAGAAACAUUCUGUUUUACUAUUUUUAUUGCGUAUAGAUUUUAUUGUUGCUGUCAUUAUUCAUAGUGUGGAGCUUCAAAAUUUUGUUUAGCAUAUAAAAGAUCUAUUGAGGUUUUCAAAUAAAAUUGCUUAGCAUGUAGUGUUGUGAUGGCCAACCAUACAAAUUUCCUGGCUUAAGAAUUCAUCAUAUUUUGGAUUGACAAAUCUUCAUGCCCUUUUUUUGGGAUUGUCAAUCAUAAAUAACUUGGUGUUUCUAUUUUACCUGUUUUUAUUUCUAAAUUUCUAAUAUAGAAUACAGAUUGUGACCGCUUGUUUGCUGUUGUCACGUUUUUGAAUGCUUAAGGAAGUGAUUUUCAAAUUUAGACUCUAUGUUUGUAAGAUACAAAUUAUGCUCAUCCAUCUUUUUUCUGUUUUUCAAAUAUGUUAUGUAUGGGUCUUAAAACCACUCUUAGCUUGUUCAUUCUUUUAUGUGUGCAGAUCAAAAUCUUCCCCUGGAGUUAGCGGAAUUAACAGGUCAGAUGGUUCAUUUGAAGCUUCUGGUUCAAAUGCCAAUACAGUGCUCAGGAAUGAAUUGGAGAGUACAUUAAUUCCACGUGAUCGUGCAGCUAUGUUAGAGCAGAGGGUUGUAAUAAAAACAAAUAAUAAGUAUGUUUGUUCACUGUUUUAGUUCUAGGAAUCUGUAGUGUGGGUAGGAAUCUCAUGUUGUUAAUAUCCAUCAAAAUUUGCAUUUAAUAUCGACCAUGUAUGACUUUCUUCUCUUUGAUUGUUGAUUUGUUUAAUUGCUCUGUUCAUCAGGGUAAGUCUCCGGGAGGAAAAUCAAUCAACUGGCUCGAGUACAAUGCUAAAAGCAAAGGUUUCAAGGGCACCAAGAACUGGGUCUAUCAUGGUGUUAGACUCAUCUUCUAAAGUUAACCUGUCAUCAGGAGCUUUGCAGGGUUGGGGGGAACAGCCAAAUUUAAAUAAGGUCCAAGCUUUGGGUGUUGCAAGCAAUAAAAAACGUCCAAUGUCUACAGGUUCAUCACAUGCCAUAUCCCAGUGGGGUGGUCAGAGACCACAUAAAAUCUCACGAACAAGAAGAGCAAAUCUAGUGUCCCCUGUCUCUAAUGCUGAACCUCAGAUUUCAUCUCAAGGCAUUUCAACACCUGAUUUUAGUGCUAGGGUAUCUAUUGGAACCGGUGGAUCACUGCUUGGAAGCAGUGUAGAUAAUGUUACUCCAAAAGUUAAGCGGGAGCCUGAGAAUGUUUCUUCUCCUUUUGGGUUAUCUGAGAGUGAAGAAUCAGAGGCUGGAGAUAGCAAAUCAAAAGAGAAAAGAUUUGAUAGUUGUGAGGUUUCUUUGCCUGCAUCUCAAAAAGCUGGGCCUUUCUUAUUGCCCACAAGGAAGAAUAAAAAUACAAAUGAAAUUGGAGAUGGAGUCCGAAGACAAGGAAGGAAUGGAAGCAGUGCACCACCCUUGACAAAGCCAGGUGUACAUCCUAUGAGGGAGAAAUUGAACAAUCUGACAACCGCCAAGCUAAUUCAAAACACAAGAUCUGCUUCUGAUAAAAAUAGAAGGUUCCUAUCUUGCUCUUUAGUAUUAAGUUGUUCGUUUGUGUUGUGGAAGUCUGAUGAAUGAGUCAUAAAUUCUUUGGUUCAGUAAAACAGGUCGUCCACCUUCCAAGAAGCUCAAAGAUCGCAAGGCCUCACGUGUUGGGUCGAUGCUAAACAAUGUUUCUUCAGAUUUCACAGGUAUUUUAACUACUUUUUGGCCAAUGAGACUUUGCUGCAAAUAUUUCAAAAAUAAAAGAGUAUUGAGUCUAUUGCACCACUAUGAUAGCUCUUUGAUGGAAAUCUAUUCAUUUUGCAUAGCUCUUACCAAUCUUAACACAUCAAUCAUGACUGCAAUACCUCAUCUGUGCAACAUGACAGUAAUCAUUUUGACAAAUAUUUUGCUCUUAGUUUAGCUAUCAACAAGUUAUAUGUGUUCUUCCAUGGGUUUAAUUUUUCUUUUAGUGGAGAUGUUUUGUUGUUUAGUUUUUUAAUAGUGGAAGGAAUUGUUCUAUCACACAUCUGCGUGCAUGUCCCUCCAUCCUUUGUAACAGCCAGGCUUGCUGAAAUGUGGUUGAAAAUCCCUGAAAGUGUCUGCUGUAUUUGGGAUUCCAUUUUCAGGUGAAUCUGAUGAGGAUGAUCGUGAUGAACUAUUUGCAGCUGCCACUUCUGCACGGAAUUCUAGCAGUAUGCAUCUCUUCCAAUGAUAACCCCACCUUACCCACCCCUGUCCCCCAAACCCCCUAAAGAAAAUCAAAUACCUUUUGUGAAUUGAGCUUUUAUAGGGGUAUAAGUUGGUAUCCGUUUCUCGUUUCUGUAGGUCUGGCUUGUUCUGGUCCUUUUUGGAAGAAAAUGGGAUCUAUUUUUAGUUCAGUGAGCCCAGAGGACACAUCUUACCUCAGGCAACAGGUACUACAUGGUGACUAACGUAUUUAUGAUUCAUUGACACUUUGGGGUUUAGUUCAUCACAGUUUCCUUAUCUGCUAUUUUGAUGUUGCAUCAGCUAAGUUUGGCAGAAGAACUUGACGAAAGUUUGUCUCAAAUUUUUGGAGAUGGAUUUAAUGUUUUGGUAAACUUCAUCAUCUUAUGUUUCUCUCCCUAAAACCAGAUCUAUUUAAUCAGCUAUAUACAAGGAAAGUGUAACUGGAAAUUAAAUCAAACUUUGUUGGCUAAUAUUGAUAAGAACUCCUUUCAUUCCUCAGGGUAUUGUGCAGAAAGAUGCACCUAAUUCUGUUGAAGAAAUGGCCAAAACUAAUGCUGCCUGUGAAAGAUUUGAUAUAAAAAAGUUUGACAAGGUUACUCCUUUAUAUCAAAGAGUACUUUCUGCUUUGAUUGAAGAAGAUGAUAGUGACGAGCUUUACCACCGCAUUGAAGCAAAGAACAUGUCCCUUCACUAUGCAAGUGAUGAUUCCCAUUGUGGUUCAUGCAACCUGAUGGAUGUUGAAUUCAGAGAUAGAGACAAAAUGGAAUCUGAAGUUGAGUCAAAUGCAGAUUUUCAGUGUCAGAGGAACUCUCUGUUAGAUAGGCUGUCUGGUGAUGUAAGUGUUGCAUCAAAUACAUUUAGGAAUGGCAGCAUGUCUAAUUCAUUACAUAGCAGUGAAAGGUGGUGGGGAGAUGAUGACUUUUCACACUUGGAUACGGGGCCAGUGAGCGAAAUCUGUUCGACUGACCUGGGUCAGCUCCAACAUAAAGAAAUAAAUGUUUCUGACAGUCCUCUUGACUCUCAGUAUCAGUUGAUGGGUGUGGAUGACAAGCUUUUGCUGGAGUUGAAUAGUAUCGGUCUUUAUCCAGAUUAUUUGGUGAGUUUUCUUUCAUGCUAACAUUGAAUUGAUUAAUUUUAAAAAAGUUUUCUUCAGUUCCAGGUAUGUGUAUCUUGGAUGUCAAAUGUUUUGUGCCACUAUCUUACAUGAUUAGUGCCUUUUUUUUGGUCUUUUUUGCAGCCUGAUUUGGCAGAGGGAGAGGAAGCUAUAAAUCAAAAUGUUUUUGAGCUUAAUGAUUGUCUGUAUCAGCAGGUUGCUGUUUUUUACUGUUAUUGGUUUUCACAAAUAUCUCAAAAUUUGAUCAUUUAAGGACAUCAUCCUGUUGCUAUUUAUUUACCGAAAACUAUUUCUUUAUGUGCUAAAAUGAAACUCGUUAAAUAACAUAUUUACCUUUUGCUUUUAAAUUGAAUUUUUACUGCAUAUCUGAAUCUCUUUUUUCUUUUGGCUAUUAAUUCACAGAUUCAGAAGAAGAAGAAAAAGUUGGGGAAUAUUGAUAAAGCUAUUGACAAUGGGAGAGAUGUAGAAAGAAGGUGGGAUAAACAGCUGAUCUUGUUAUUAAUGAACUUUAUAAAUUGUGCUCCAUCUAAAGUAAUGUGGUCUGCUUUGCAGGAACAUUGAGCACGUCGCAAUGGACCAAUUAAUUGAGAUUGCUUACAGAAGACGUUUUGUACUUCUGUGAUCCAUUGUGCAAUUGUUGUUUCUGAUUAUUAACUUGGAGCUUUUGAGGCUUAAUUGUUUGCCAUUCAUCCUUCCAUAUGAUUACUUUUUUAUGUCCUGAAUUCUAGAUUUUACAAGUUUCUCUGUGAUAAUUACAGGUGUGAGAAUGGUUGCCUGUGAGAAUUGUUAACAAGUUGGUAACAGUUUUGUCAUUUUUUAUCAACUAACAAUAUGGAGAGAAAACUGUCAAACAUCUUUUUGGUUUUGAUAAUCUUGAACAUUUCCUUGCUAUGUAGCCAAUGCAUUGUUAGUCUGGUAAUGGCAAUUUAUUGGUGAAUUUUACAGAUACAGGCCUUUUGACAUGCUUUAUUGUUGAUUUACAUGAGGAAUGGUUAUAAUAUCUCGUAGUAUGGUGUUGAAUGGUGUAUUGUUUAUAUCUGAAGCAUUUUGGAGCAAGCUGUUUAUUAUAAUUGAUUUGACUUCCUACAAACAAUUUAUGCAGGCUUGUCGUAGGAGUAAUUCAUCAAAAAGUGCAGUUCGCAAGGUUUCAAAACAAGUUGCAUUGGCUUUUGUCAAGCGAACUCUAGAUAAAUGUCAAAAAUUUGAACAGACGGGUACUAGUUGCUUUAGCGAAUCUGCAUUGCAAGAUGUCAUGUUUUCUGUACCGCCAUGCAGCAAUGAAGCGAAGUCUGUUGAUUGUAUUGGCUCUGGAACUGCUAGUAAUAUUUGUAAUGAAACUUCCAACCAUCAAGCAGAAGCCAGGGGAUCGGGUAUUAUGCAAUCGAAAAUUCUUUCUUUUCUGAUAUUGCAAUUUCUCUCUAUGAGAAGGAAAAAGAAAUGUAUCAUGUCUCGUUUACUUAUUUAAUGAUAUAGAGAAGCUCUUUGAGCGGGGGAAUAUGAUACAUGUCCCGAAUAACUGUUGAGCAGCUUAUUCAUGUUGAUUUCACCUCUGCCUCAGGUGCUGUUUCGAGUACUUUUGAGAGGUUUGAUACUUCGGAUGCUCAUCCAGGCAUUCACAACAAAGGGAGGAAGAGGGAAGUACUUAUUGAUGAGGUUGUUGGUAGUGCAUCUUCUAGGGUAACAUCAACAACACUUGAUGGCAAAGUUGGAGGAGCAAACGGAAAGAGAAGUGAAAGCAGAGAUGAGCGGAAGAUGAAAGCAAAAGCCAAGCAAAAGAAUAAUAAUUUAUCAAGUUCCAGAAAUGGUAGGGCAUCAUCUCCAGGUAAGAAUCACGGGAGUUCAACUAAAGAAGUAGAGGAACCCAUGGAUUUUGGGAACUUGCAACUAAACGAGUUGGAUACAAUGGAAGAAUUGGGUGUUCCAAAUGAGCUUGGUCCUCAAGAUCUGAGUUCCUGGCUAAACUUUGAUGAAGAUGGCUUGCAAGACCAUGAUUCCAUAGGUUUAGAAAUACCAAUGGAUGAUCUUUCAGAUUUGAAAUUUGCAUUCUGAUAUUCUUGACCCUUUAGGUUUACUAAUUAUCUGAUGCAAUUUGAUCUGAGAUAAUGUAAUUAUGAUUCAUUUUUCAAUAUAUAUUAGCUAUUAUUCCACUUUCCUGGUCGGUCCAUUUUUUCCACCUUUAAUCUCUGCCCAGAAAUAAAUGAGCUUGUCACUUAAGUUCAUUAGAAGGAAUAUACAAUUCUGAUUUAAUAAGUUUUUCCAUUAUCAUGUAUCCAAUGCCAUCAUAAAACCAUGAAAAAAAACAUCAAAAGAACAUUUCAAUCAUAGAAAGUGGUAGCCUCGGCCACUAAAACCAACCCGAUACAUUGGUAGUGAUAAAAAAACUCAUUAACAAAGCAUGAAGAAAUGUUGUAAGCACCAAAAAUAAAAGAACCACUUUUCCCUAAAUAAAAAAUAAUUAAAUCAACAUCAGCGGUAAUAUAAGUUUGGAGCCCAUGCCUAUUCGUAGUUAUAAAUUUUCCUUAUUGGUCUAAAAUAAAGGGAAAUAAUAAUAGUAUUUUUAAUAUAAAAUAUUUAAUGGUUUUAAAAAGGGAUAAAACAAACAUAAUUUUUCAAAGUUUAUUCGAACUUUUUUAAUUGUAAACAUGUGGCAUCAUUUCGUGCAAAAACAAAACAAAAGUUUAUUGUUUUAUUUUUUUGGUACAUCAUUAAGGAAAAGCAUUAAUGGCUAAGAGAAACUAAUGAAAGCUUUUGAAGCACAUGUUGCUCAUUUCACUGUUUCUCUUCUUUGUGGUUGUCCUCUAGUUUCUGACCAAUGGUAACAAAUUGCAGGAGGUUCUGAGCUGGUUGAAGUUUUCACCCUGCUUUGAUGCGUUCGAGAAUGAUGUUGAUCUAAUUUUUGUCUCUAUCCAGCAAUCUACAAGAAGAAAUAUUGUGAUACCUAAGGGACAAAAGAAUAGUGCAUAAGAUAAGAAUUCUAGCCUGAAGUUUGGUAGCAAACUUGAAGCUUCGAAUGGACAUCAAUUGGAAUCCAUUUGAGUUCUGAACAAUGGCUGCUCCUACAAUCAUAUCAUUUUGUCAAUUUUUAAUAAUGCUUAACGAUAGAUAUCAUUGGGAGAAGUGAUCACCAAAGCUGAGAGAAGGUUGAGUCCUUGAUUGAAUAGUCUGAAAAAUAUGCUAAGAAUAGAAUGGCAGAGAUCAGAAAUUCUUAUAAGAGCACCUAUAGGACAUGGAUUAGAUCCUCGACUAUGCCUUCAUUUCUCGAUUUCCAAAUAAUCCAAAGGGUACAAGCUGAAGUAGUGUAGAAGUUUCUUGAAUCUUGGGAGUUGAUACAAUUUCCUUGAAGCCAUUAUAGAAUCCAGCUGGAGAUGGAUGUGUUGGUAAGAGAGUUGGAUCGGAGUGUGAGAGGGGAACCAAACCAAACUGCCCAAGCAAAGCUACAAUUUAAGAAGAGAUGCUCAGGGGUUUCCUUAUCUUCUUUGCAUAGAGGACAGAGAUUAUCAUUAGUAGAAAGGCAUCUCGAGAGGAGGUCUUUAGUGGGGAGGCAAUUAUUACAAAUCUUCCACAGGAAAACGAUGAUUUUGAAAGGAAUUUUAAGUUGCCAAAGAUUAACCUAGGCAAUUUGCUGAGAUUGAGGGGGGAGUAAUGGAGGAGCUCCCCUGGAAAAGACAGGAAUAAGCAUUUUUAAGCGUAAAGACCCCAUUGUGGUCGGCUUUCCACACUAUUUUGUCAUCUCCUCCCUGUAUGGAAAGUGUUGUACUAAGGAAAUCUGAGGUUCUGUUGGUAUCAAGAGAUCUAAGGGACUUAUUUUGAUCCCAGCUGUUGAGAUGAGGAUGAAGGUAGAUUUGAAGCAAUAUGGUUCAACAGUGUAGAGCUAGUGCAGAUCCAACUGUUUCUUCCACCCCAAAGUUGAACAUCCUUCCCUCUCUUGCAAUUAUCCCUACCUAGGGCUAUGAGUUCAACAAGGAAUGUAUAGAAUAACUUUCAUUAUUUAAUUACACAGUAACUACAUUAAACUUUGGACGAGCUUUAAGGACUUUCGUGUCAUUAUUUUUUAAAAAUAUUAUUAUUAAAUGUUAACAAAAAUUUUAAUGAAAUUAAUUUUAAUUUAAAUGCAAAUGGACACUCGUCAAGGUUUGUGUAGAUUCUCAACUUCUUCAUUCAAUAACUAAUUUAGAUUUAACUUUACUUAAUUCAAUAAUUCUUUUUAUUAUUUGAAAUAUUAAACUAUUAAAAAAGAUUUGAAUUAAAAUUUUCAAUUUCUUUUUAUUAAAUAACCAUUCAAAUUAUAUAGAAUCGACUUUGAUUUCUAAAAUCCAUGUAUAGGUAUAGAUAUUAAUAUAUAUUUAAAUAAUUAUAUAUUUGAAUAAUCUUAUUUUUAUAUUUAUUUUUUUAAAAAUUUAUACUCUUAUGUCAUAUUUAAAUUAUAUUUUGAUUUUGAGUUUUCAUGAGCCGUGGUUUACAUGGUAACGAGGUAGGUUGGCCAUAAUAACAUUAGGGAGCAUUUGGAUCAUGGCAUUGCUACUAUAGAGUGGUGGGACUUGUUUCCGCAAUAUCUAGUGAGUCAUCUCCCUCAUUGUUUCUCAGAUCAUUUCUCGGUUAUGAUAAAAACAGGAGAUUGUGGUGAUCAAAUCCCACAAAGGAGACAAUUUCUGUUUGAGUCAACUUGGAUUUUGGAGAAUUCAUGUGGUGAGGGCAAACGUUGAGAGAUAGUUGGACAGGUUGAAUGCAUUGGAACCGGAUGACGCUGCUUUGGAAGAGAUAAUGGAGGUAAAAUUUGAUUUGAGUCUGAAGGCGGAUAAAGAGAUGUAUUAGGAGCAGAGAGCACAAACGAAUUGGCUCAAGUAUGGUGAUAGGAAUAUAAGGUUUAUUCAUCAGUUUGUCUCUAAAAGAAUGCAAAACAAUAGGAUAUGGGGGAUGGAGGAUGAUAAUGGCCAAUGGGUGGAGAAUGAGGACCACUUGGGAGAAAUUGUUGUUACUUAUCUUCAAGACUUGUUUACAUCGCCUUGGAAGGGUGAUUCAUCUCAUAUAUUAGCGGGAGUGGAGCAAAUUAUAACAAGUGAGAUGAAUCAAAUGUCAAAGGAGACUUUUAAGCAAGACGAGAUAACUCAGGCCUUUAAAGAUAUUGACCCUACUAAAGCUUUCAAGUAUGAUGGCUUUUUGACAUUGUUUUAUUAUAAGUUUUGGCAUGUGGCGAGUUACGAGGUGAGGAGGUAUCGCCCAUCUAUUCUGAAUAGAGAAGAUUCUAUUGAGAGGAUUAAUUGAACUUCAAUUGUCCUAAUCCCAAAAAUCUAGAACCCAAGGAAUAUGACCCAUUGAUCACCAAGGGUAAAGUUAGAACUUUUUUUAAAGGUUUGAGAUUAAGUUAUAUAUUUUUAUGAGAGCUAAAAUGUAAUUUUAUUAUUGUAUUGGCUUAUGACUUUAUGGUUUUCAAAAGGGACUAAAUCAAAAUUUUAGCAUUUUUUGAGAGCAAACUAUAAUUUUACCAAAUAUUAAUUUAAUUUUUUAUGAAUUUUACAAAAUUAAGCCAGAAAUUUUUUAUUUUGAGGGGCUAGGGCCCCUACCACCUCCCUUCACCCCUGUUGAUCGCCUUAACAAGUUAAGAAUAUACACAAAUCUCAAUCCAUUUAAAUUAGAAAAGAAAAAGAAAAGAUGUAGAACCCCUAGAUAUUACAAAACCUAAUGUGACCAUUGACAACUAUGGUGUCGAGGUCAAUUUUGUUAGUCGAACUUUUCUUCCCUUUUUUCCUCUCUACAUUCGUGAAAAUAAAAAUAAAAAGUUCUCCUUAAUCCCAAGGGACUCGGAAAUCAUUGCAUUUAAAUUUUACAUUAACUUUUACACCUAUAAAAGAAACAUAUUUUAGUAAAUAAUUUUAAAAUGUCUUAGUUUAGGAAAUAAAUAAAUAUAUUUGAAAUAAAAAAAAAUAAUAAUAAGACAAUAAUGAAGUCAAAAAAUGUGGAUUUAAAUUAGGACUUGAAAUUAUUUAUCUUAUUUCACUUAAUACAUGUAAUUUCACUAUAAAAUAAACAAAUUUAAAUUUCAAAAUAUCAUUUUUAUUUAAUUCCAAAUUUUAUAUUUAAUAUUCUUAAAAAUAAAAUAAUAACACUUUUAUGUUAUUUACUUUUAAUAUCAUAUUAUUCUUCUUCUUUUAUUAACUCAUAAAAUUCCUUCUUUUUUUUUUUAAUUAUUCAAAAUGACUUUAUUCUUUAAUAUAUUGUUUGUAAUACAUUGAAUGAAUAAAAUUUAUAGAAAAUAAUUAAGACACAUUAACAAAACCAAACAUUGACUACUACCAAUUUAAUCAAUAGUUAUGAAAGAUAAUAUAAAUGUGAUUAUCUAAAAAUAUAUUCCUCUUCCUUUUGUUUUUCUUUUUUAAUGCAAGAUAAUUUUGGUGAAUGCCAAAUCAGCCCAAUUAAAUCAAUGGAAUUUAUCUAUGAAAUACUUCAACCUCUUUUGAAAAGCUACAAAACUUAUCACUAUUAUUAAAUUUUAAUUAAAAUAUUAUGACUAUAAUUUUGUUACAUUUUUUAUCUAAUUUAAAUCAAUUUCUUACCAUAUUUUAGUAUUUAUUUGGUAGUCCCAUCCAUAUUCAACAAAACUUGGACUAAAUUUUUUAUUCAAAUUUAAUUAUAAAAAAAUAUUAUUUUAAUAUUCUCUAUUUUAUGGUUUAUUUUUAAGAUCCGUAAUUGAUCCUCUUAAUAAUGUAGUCUUUAAAAUUCGAACUUUGUAUUUCUCGUUACAAAUAUAAUUUACUUUACUACUCCACUCAAUACUUUAUUAAUUGACAAAAAGCAAUUCUAUCCUAAAUAUAAUAUUAUUAUAUGUAUAAAUAAUUCAUAUAUUCUUAAAAAAAAGAACAGAUUUAUUCAUAUUUAUAUACUCUAAUUCUGUAUAUAUUAUUAAUGAACAACAGAAUUAAUUGAUUCUAGGUCUAAUUAUGCCUUCGGUCAUCUACUCUUUCAAAAUUUUGAAAAUUAGUCCUUUUACUUGUUUGAAAAUUAAAAUUCAUUUAACAACAUUGUUAUUAACUUUUGCUAAAUUUAAAUGGGUUAUCCAUUAAACUUUAUUUUCUUAACUCUAACAUUUGAAUAUUAAAAUAUCACAAUAUUGUUGACAGUUCAUCUAGAGGUUGAGAGCCGUAUAGGUGGAUGAUGGUUGAAGAUGUUGACGGGUAUGGAAGCUUGUGAUGGUCUUCCAAGAGGAGAGGAGCUCUCUUCUUUCUUAUUAUGCUAGUGUUGAGAGAACAGCCCUCUCUCAUUUGGAUCAAAAGGGUAGCUUAUAUAGCCCCGAGUUUUGUGGGAUAAGUGUGGGGCACAUAAGGUUACAUGUAGAUUGUGUAUAGUUCACAUGUUUGUAGUUAUACAGUGCUUGGCGAGAUCAUAUGCGAGAUUAACAUAGCGAGAUCUCUAUGUGGUGGAGAUAAACAACACAUAUUCCAAUGUAAUGUAAAUUCAUUAAUAGUAUUAUCAAUUAGACUUUAAUUUUCACCUCUAUCAAGAGAAUGAAAAAUAAAAAAGAAAUUUUAAAAGUUUAAAGAGUACAGGGACUGAAGGUACAAUAAACCUUUUUUUUUAUUUCAACCCCAUCAUUACUGUUUAUAUAGAAAAGUAAUGUGGAAAGCAGCAUUUGGGCUUAGAUUCAAGACAUCAUUUUAAAAGGACGUACGCUAUGCAUUAAAGUAAAUAGGUAGAUAAGUUCAACAGCUUAUGCACUUAAUUAUAUAAUAAUCUAAAAUAUUAAAAUAAUUAAAAAGCAUGCCAAUAAUGACACACAUAUACGUAAGAUUAAUAUAUAUGCAUUUACCCACAUUUUCACUAGUUACUUUUAAUGUUAUUUUAAAGAUCUAAAAGUUAAGGCUGACUCUUGUUACGUUCUUAUGAUCACCAACUCAGAAAUCAGAUAAGGUUUGGGUCACCUAUCUGCUACCCAAAUAGAGCCCACCAGAUGGAUACGGGCGAGUCUUAUAGCAUGAAGCUCGCAAGGGAUGUUCGUAAGAGGAGCUCGCGGAUCCUGCUUGCUCAUGACAGGGGAAGCUUGCGAUCUCAACUCGCAGAUGCCCAAGGAGUGUCCAACAGGCAGCCUAGAAUAAUACACGUGUUCAGCUUGCAUAGAGUCUGCUAGGAAUGUCAAUUCUAUGAACAAUAGCUAUGUGUAUAAAUAUUCUAUUGUCCCCUCUAAUGAGACACAAUGGAAAAUUACUCAACAACACUAAAAAGAUUAUUGAUGUUAACUAAAACUAUCAACUUCAAAAAAAAUGGAAAACUAUAAAUAGGUCAUUAUGCAAUGUAAAAUAAAUCAAAAUUAAUCCACUUAAAAAUUAUAAGAUUUGCAUGGUUUAAAAUUAAAAUUAAUCUAAUAUGUAAAUCUUCUUGUCAAUAACAUAAGAAAAUGAUGAUUCAAGUCUCGUAUUAACACCUCAACGACUAAAGUUCAAACUCUAUUGAUAAAAUUUUUCUUUUCCAAUUUAUAAAAUUUAUCUAUAUCUUCUUAUCUUACUUUUAAAUAAAGAUAUACACAAAUCGAAUCGGAUUUAAAUCUCGAGCCGGGUGUGCUGGUGUGCAUUUACUUUCAAACCAUGUUAUCUUUUAUAAAGUACUGUUUUUGUCUAAGUAAAAUAUUACAAUAAAUAAACCUCAUUCAAUUCCUAAAAAUUCAAUUUCACAUGAAUAAAAGCAUCUUCAUUGGAGUAGCUUUCUCAAGUCUCUGUAAAGCAAUGGAAUGUUUGUUUAACAAAAUGGCAAAAUUUCAUUUGGCCCCCCCAACAUUUUAAAAUUAUCUUCAUAUCAUUACUUACAAAUAAUGUAAAAUCAUAUUUAACUCCUCCAAAAUUUUUAAUUUAGUCUUACUAAAAUUUGCAAUAUAAUGAAUUUGGUGACACCUUUAAUUAUACAUUCAUCGCUACUUUUAGCUAAAUAUUGUCUUUAUAUUUUUUAAUUAAUCAAAUAGAUAUAUUUACAUUACUUAUUUUGUUAGUAAUAUUUUUCAUUCUAUGACUAGAAUGUUGUGAUAAUGUUGUAAUAAAGUAUGUAAAGCACAUGUUUAAGUAAAUAUUGGUUCAAUAAUUAUUUAAAAUUUGAUUAAUAUUAAUAUAAAUUGGUUUAGGUAAUUUAAAUGGAUCGUAGUUUAUGGUCAUGUUAUUGUUUAUAAAUCCAUUUAGGAGAUAUCAGGGAGAAGGUCGAGACCCUAAUACCCUAAUCUCUUCAAAUAUUUCAAUUUUUUUUUGUAUUUUUAUGUUUAAAUUUUUAUUUGAUUUAAUUUAAUUUUUUUAUUAAAUUUUGAUCGUCAAUAUGUUAUUUUAGCAUGACUGGUUAUGUAUUUAAAAUAUUUGAAUGGACCAAAAAUAAUCAUAAUAUUCUAGUCAAUACGUGUGAUUGACAAUGGCAAACAUUUGAUACAAUAUUGCAUGCACCAUGCAUGCUGUUUCAAUUUCUUUAUUAUAUCCAUUUCCUAUUAUCCAAGAAAAAAUAAAUAUGCACCAUUCGUAUUUUUCACGAAUAGGCCAAAAACACAAAAUUAUAUACUAAUAAUAAUAGUAAUAUUUAAUUGUUAUAUAAAAAAAUGAAGAUUAUCAUGUGGAAUUAAAUUAAUAAAGUUACAGCAUAAAGAGUGGAGAAAGGCAUGUAUGUUUCACAGCACCUAUACGUGAAUUUCAUGUAAAAUGUCCAACUGCCAUUAUUUAAAUUUUUUUCAAUGGCUUUAUGCCAAUACCAUUAAAAUGGCUACCGCCAUUUAAAAGCCAUUGCCAUUUAUUAAUUAGUUUCCUUUGUAGAUGGCAUUAUGCCAUUUUUCUAUCAAUGGCAGAAUCCAUUGAAAGGGUGGUGUUUUUCUUUUCUCUUCUUAUAUUAGAGUAUAUGGCCAAAUUCCAUUCCUCAAAAUGGGUAGGAAACUUUUUUUUAAUAAUUUCCUUUUUGAUUUUUUUUUUGUAAGGUAGUUUUAUUUUUAAUUUUAAAUAUUUCCAACAAAAAUAAUAUAUUUUGUUUUGUUUGAUUAAAUCGAGAUAGAUCUGAUACGUAAUAUAAUUAAUAUUAUUAUUAUUAUAAAAAUUACUUAAAAUGCCCAAUGUUAUUGGCCACCAUUCAAUUAACUUAACCCAGAAGUUGCUACAUUAUUUUAGGGUAAAGGAAACAAAUGUCUCCCUGUCUGUCUCAUUUUUUUCUCCAUUAAAAAUAAAACAUCUGCCAACCACUUCUAUUAAAUGUCUAUUUUAUUUACAUAACAAACCUCUUUCUCUUUUUCCCACUGCCAAGUUUAUUCAACAAUAACACCCAUGCAUGUCUUUAAUUAUCUAUUAUAUAUGUCUAUUUGGUCCUUUCCACCUUUUAGUUUACUGAUAAUUUUGAAAGUAAAAAAUAAAGUGCACAACCACUUUGUUUAAAUGAAGAGAAACAAAAGAAUCCCCACAUUUCACUCUUCCUUUCCCACAAUUUCUUCUCUAUUUUUACAUCAAUAAUGACACCUUUUCUUUUUCUUUUUCUUUUUUUUAUGAUUCAUUAAUAAAUUGUAUAAAAUUAUAUACUUUUGAUGAUGACAUAUUCUUAAUGUUCUUGCAAGAAGACAAGGGUUUCAGUCUUUGCCUCUAUUUCUGUCAACCCUUGUGUGUUUUCUUUCUUCAUUUUAGCUUUCUACAUCAUUGAAGAGGCACCUACUAAAGUCAAGGAGACAAAGUGACUUAAUAUAUUCAUCUUAUAUAUGUGUACACAUGUAUAGAUGACUAACGGACAGAUACGAGCGAUUUCGGGUGAAAGGUUUUUGAUAUACAAUAAAUUUAGACUCCACGACCCCUUCUUAAUCUUUAAAUGAAAAUUUUUUUCAUCUUCUUAUUUUCAAAUUAUUUAAAUUCAAGUAUUUUUAGAUUUGAGUCAAAUUUGAAUUUGGAGUACUCGUUUUUUUUAGUCCUUGUAAAUUCAAUUUAAUAUAUCUAUGCAGUGCAUUUUUCUAACUUUGAUUGUUCAUUGCUAAUAAUUUAAUUUCUUUCAAAGAAAGGAGAGAGAGAUAGCUAGCUCCCUUGUGCACAUUAAUAUUGAUUUUUUUUUUCAUUUACAUGGAUAAACUUAAUAAUAAAAACAAACUAAAAGAUUAAAAAAGAAAAAGCAAAAGAAAGCCCUAAGAUAUCCUCUAACUUAAGUAGGUUGAUGAAACCCAGUAUAUAUAAUAAUAUAUUUUUUGCAUGGAAAGCUUUCAUCGUCGAAAUUACAGGGUUUUGAUUGCUUUAACAUCAUAUGAGUAGCUGCCUGCUGGGAAUCCCCCCCCCCUCCCCAACCCUUUUUUCUUUCUUCUUAAAUCAAAAGUUUGAGAAAUGAUUCUGUGAGGGUUGGACCAUUUGCAGCUCUGUUGUUGUUUGGCAUGAGUGAUCUUCACUCAUCAUGCUCCUACAUCAUACAAACUAAUUAAUAAUUACAUAUAAAUUAAUAUAAACAAAUAUGUAUAUAAACUAACAAAAAUUGAAUUUUAUAAUUUCUUUUAAAAGUUAAUUUCUAGCUGAGCUGAUAACUAUAAAUAAUUGUAUAGAAAGUUUAGAAUUUGUAUAUAUAUUAAAAAUUGUAAUAUUUGUUUAAAAAGUAGGUAAACCUUGCACGAUAUGUAUAUUUAUAUUUAAAUUUUAUCAUCUACAAACAUUUUAUUUUUAGGAAAAAAAAAUUGAAAAAGGACAAGUACAAGUUCCCAAAUUUAAAAGGAAGACUAUGACUAAUUUGAAAAUUAUGGUUAAUAUAUGCUUAUAUUUUCAUUAGGGUUUCAAUAUGUAGUAUAUAAAGAUAUUAAGAGAUCUUACUCUCGAGGACGAGAGGCCCAAAGAGAACUGAGUGCUCGUAAACGUCCAUAAUACUCUCCGAUCAUCAGAAAACACCGUGCUGCUUGUCUCACCGUUAAUAUCCGAGACAAUUGAUGAAGGGUUUGCUGUCUUAAAUUGUCAGCCUACAUCACAAAAUACAAGGUUAAUUCUACACGUGAAUAUAGAGAUAUGAGCUUGGAGUUUGAGGAUGUUUAAAUCACAUGAAAAAGUUUGAUAUGCAUGACUUGGAAAUUUCAGAAGAUUUGAAAGUUGAAAGUCAUGGGAAUUUGUCUUAGGAUUGGGUCUAUUUUCAAAAUUUCCAAUCAUUCAUUAAACAAAAGUAAAGAGUCGGCUUUUAUUUUUCUUUCAAUAUAAAAUAAAUCAAUCAAGACUUUCCAUUGAUUGUUAAAGCUAGGGUUUUUUAUUUCAAAAGAUGUCAUUAUCGAGCCACCUUUUGAUAGAAACUUUUAUAGAUAAAAAUACCCAAUCAAACCCAUAGCUUUCAACAUUGCCAUGGACUUCUUACAGAUAAAGCAAUAUAUAUAUAUAUAUAUAUAUAUAUAUAUAUCUCCCACAUUAAAAAUGAUUUCUAUUGAUCAACAAGUUCAACAAAUCAUUUUCAAGCACCGUAAUUUUAUCUGACAAUGUAACCUAACUGUCAAACUAGCUAAUCAGCUUGUGAAGUGAUGAUAAAAUUUAAAUACCUGGCGAACGAAGCCUUCAAGAUUGGCAAGCUUGCCUAAGGCGACAGCCAUUUGUUGCAUUCCAUCGAUGACCGGGCCGCCAGCAAUGGUGUCGAUGAGGGACUGCUGGAGUUGUUCCAGGCCUUGGGUGAGUGCCUCUUCUGCCUGCUGUGAAGAAUGCUGCAGGCUGUAAAUCCCCAUCACUUGCUGUUCUGUUAAUGGGUCUAAUUGUGAUAUUAACAUCUGCUCAUUCAAUAAAAAUACACACACAUAUAUAUAUCAGAACUAGUCAUCCAUGGGAAUAUAAACAUGGUCUUUUUCCCCUCCUUAGGGCAUGCAUAUUUAGCAUACAUUGUUAAUGUAGUACUGGCUGAGUUCAAACCUUGAUGAGGUCGGAGGGUCUGAAACCUCCCAUCCAAAGGAAGCAGCGCUCCGCCGGAGUGGUCCACAUACCGGUUAUAAGGUGAAAAACAUCGGCUUUUGCGGCGGCUACCUUCAACCGGAAAAUUUCAUCGUAAUGUGAAAUGUAGCUGUCUACGAUUAUCCGAAGGUCGCUGUCCGAAAGGUGUGCAUUUAAUCCAGUUCUGAGCUCCGACAUGUGCCUCUGAUCAUCUUCUAACCAUCUCGAAUAUUCAAUGUCAAAUAUUGCAGCCCCUAAAUCAAAGAAACACGACAAUGGUAAUGAAAUAACACACACGUGUCUGUAUGCAUAUAUAUAUAUAUCCUCCCAAUUACUAUAUGCAGUCCGAAAAGGGGCAUGUUUUGUUUUGCUGAAAGUGGAAAAGCUCAUAACAAUGGCUGAACAAAUUCAUACAUUUACUAUGUGUUUGAACUCUAAUGUUAGUAAAAGGCCAAACAACCUUUACAAUAUGUCAGCUUACAAGGGUUACUAUUUUCUUUGACAUUUUGUAAUUGAUAUAAAGGAUAAGUAUCAUUUAACCAGACUCUGAAGAAUUUACAAUUUUUUAUGGUCAAAUUUUAGAAUAUAUAUCCAUCAGAAUUGACUAACAGAUUCAGUAAAUAUAAUGACUAACUGUCAUUUAACAAAGAACAAAUUAUAAACAAAAGAUACAUUGUAUCCAAGUUUUUGAAUUGACUUUAAAUUUAUAUAAUAUUCAAUUUUUUAAAAUUUUAAAAACCACACAUCACAGAAAAUACAUUCCCAUUUUAAUAAAAGUCCUUUUUGGUAAAAUAAACAGUGCCAAAAAAAAACACUAAUUAUUUUUUUUUCCAAGGAACUUACCAGAGCUGAUAUUCCCAACAGUACCGGCACAACCUCCCAAGAAAAAUCCCUAUUGUACAAAACUCAAAAGAAAUAAUAAACAAAAGAAAUAGUUUCUUUUUCUGGGAAAAAAAUGAUUUUUCUGUAAAGGGAAAGAAAACCUGAGAUCGUGCUCUCUGAAGAUCUUGUUCAAGUUGAGUUAACUUUAUUCUACUUGAUUCUAGUUGUUGAACAUAAGCCUGUUUUAGACAUACAAAAAGGAAGAAAAAAAAUUUCAGUUUCUAAGACAGGUAACAAAGCAACUCCAUGCAAGUGUUUUGCAUGUAAUGUUUUUUUUAAAGUAUUCAUGUAACAACCUUUUUUCUAAGACGACUUUUCCUUGCAGCUUCUCUGUUUUGAGCUAAACGUCUCAGUGUCUGAAAAGAAAAAAACAUUUUGAACAGAUUUAACUAAAAUAAAAGUAAGAGAAUAACAAGAAACAAAAAAUGGUUUUUUUUUUUUUUUUUUGCUUUUGUACCUUAGCAUCAAGCUGUUUCUCAGAAGUUGAACCCCUUCUCUGAAACAUUAUAGAAAAGCGUAUGUAUUAACAGGUGUAUAAUAAGAGGAAAUAAUACUCAUUUAAUACAUAAUUAUAAUAAAUGAUAAAAAGAAGAAGAAGAAGAAGAAGGAGUGGUUGGUGAUUUAAAAGAUUCUUAUCAAGCACAGACAAGAAGUUGGUCAGGAAAAUGAGAGCAUUUGGCUGUUUGGUAGGCUAUGAAACUAAGAAAUAAAAAAAUAGAAAUAAAAUGAUUAAGAAUGAUCUCACAAAGUUUCUGGGAAGAGUUGGUGAUUGCUGAUGGCGAUGUGACUCUUGUUCUUGCAACAUGUAAUCAUGAACAUGGUAAGGGUAACAAAAAUCAUCAAAAUCCGCCAUUAUAUUUAGGUUUUCUCUCAGGCUUAAUGGUUGUAGAUCUUUGGGUGUGUGUUUUUUCCUAAUUCCAAAACUGAUUUCUACAGGAGGUUAUAUUUAUAGGGAUUGAGGAAAGUGGGGUCAUGGUUUUAUAAUGAAAAAAAAGGUCCUAGAGAUUCUUUCUUAGCUUUCCAGUGUGUAAUUUGUGUGUUUCUCUCUCUAUUUUCAUGUCAGACAUUCAUCAGAAAAUCGUUCAGGGAUCAGAAAAGAAAAGAGAAAAACUCUGAAUUCUUUGAUUUUCUGUGGGUUUGUUGGGAUCUGUGAAUAAAAGAUAGGCCCACAGAGAGAAAGGAUUAAAAUCAAUACAGUAAUAAUAACAAAAAAUGAUACCAACUUUUUUCCUGAGUUGUUGGGGAUAUGAGAAGGAAGAGAGAGAGAGAAGUUGGGUUAGGGGGAGAGAUUAUUAAUGAUUAAAGGACCUUUUCUUGGGGUGUUUUUGCAGCAGCUGAUUGAUUCUGUGAUGUCCCUGUUCUUGAGAUAUCACUUGCCAUAUCUACCUGUUGUUGUUGAUCCAAAGAAGAUGUCUUCUUACUGAUGGGUGAUUCUGGCUCAACCUGGUUCUCAGUUUUGCUUGAGAUUGUAUUCACUCCUGAUCCUGAAUCAGUGCUUUCCCCUCCUGAUUUUGAACUUCCCUACAUACAUAAUCCCAAAACAUAUAAUUUGUCAACUCUCUCAAGUACUGGUCAAAGGAGGUGAAAAAAAAGGGUUAAGAAACUACUCUUGGGGUUUGCUGAAAUCUCAUUGGCCAAGAAGGGAACAUCUCCAGGGUAGCUUCUGGUCUGCCUGCUGUGAAUAAAGCUGCACAGAAUCACCAAAAGCAAGAUUUUUCAACCAUAUCCAUAUAUCAUAUAUUCAAACCCAUACAGCCUGCCUGCUUCUUCUUUUCUUUUUUUUUUUUACAGUUAUGGAGUCAGUAAUAAAACUAUGCUAAACAGGUCAUAUUUUCUAUGUUUGUAUCCUCAUGCUAUUCAAGUGUCUUGCUUUAGUAUGAUUACAGUGUUGGAAAUAGUAACCCCUACUUUUUCCCUCUCGUUCCUCUCUCUUUCUCUCUCUUUGAGCUAAGCUACAUCGGGACUAAAAAAUAAAUAAGUUAAUAAUAGGAGGAGUGAAGGGCAUACGUGGUUUAGCUUCAUCGUUUCUAAUUUUAACUCCUUGCAGCACAAUUGCUUCUUCAAGCUCUCCAAAAUCAAAAGCAGGCCCUUCUUGAUGCCUGUGAGACCAGAAUUGGCAACCCAUAGUCCAUAAGCAAGAACAAAUAUAACAGCAAAAAAAAAAAAAAAAUUAAAAAGACAUACAUAAAACUUUGGGGGACAUUCAUUCCAUGAAGAACAGCAUAAGGAAUAUUAUGGUGGUGGUGGUGGUGAUUGGAAGAAGGUCCCGAGUCUGUCAAACCUGUCUCUCCAACUCUAUGGUUCGCCAUGCAAGACUUGUUCUUUACACCAUUCUCCAAACCAGAAGCAGCUAUAUGAAAACAUGUUGCAGCACAAUGAAUAAACUCAAAUACCUCAGGCUUUAAAAAAAAAAAACCAAAGUUGCCAUUGGUUUUGUUUGUUUACCUCAACUUGGUUUAUGAGCUUUAAGGAAGACAAAAGAAAAUAAGAAAGGAAGGUUUUUCUUUUCUUUUGAUGAGAGACAAAAGAUGAAAAAAGCUCCAGUAUUUGUUUCUCUUAUCUCUGCAACUUUUGAUCCUUUGAUGGGUGUGUGUGGAUCUUUUCUUUUGCUUUAUUACAACACCUUGUGUUGGAAGAGUUGUAAGAACUUGUAUCAGAUUUUGGAACUCUUCUUUUUUAUCAUGGUACUACACAAAAUCUUGUCCUUGCAGACCUCAGGGCCUGACCCCUCUGUUAUUUUUUUUUCUUUUAGUGUGAGAUGGUUUUGAGUUUAAAAACAAAUUUCAAAUUUCAAAUAAAAUAAAAUAAAAACAAUCUAAAAAAUUAUUGUCUAGAGGAACCCACUAGAAUCACUGACUCCUACUCCACUCUCUCUCUUUAACCGCCUGUUCUUUCUCAUUGGUCCUUUUUAUGGACCUCUUCAGCCCCUGCAAAGUACUCUUAAUAAUAAAUGGAUGCAUAUCAUACAAUUGGGUUAUUUUCACAAUAUAGCCCCAAACCAUUGUUCAGGUUCUAAAUUGGUUUCUAAACUUUAACAUAUUUUAAUUGGGUUCUUAAAGUAUGGGUAUCGUGUCAAUUUAGCUCCUUUUGCCAAUCUAACCAUCAAUAAAAUGCCAACUCAAAUAUAACAUGAAGUAUAUUUAAAGCACGUGAAUCAAAUUCUAGGCAUACGUGUACCUAUUGUAUAGAUAGUUUAGAUAUAAUGUGUUAAAAAUUAGUCUCCUCAAAUUUUAUUAAUAUAUUUUUUUUAUUUUUUUCAACAUGUUAAAUCUAAACUGUUUGUGCAAUAAUUACACACGUAUUUAUAAUUCGAUUAAGGUUAACAUUUAAUGCUUAGAUUAACGGCUAAACUGAUGGAAAGACUUGAAUCAUAUGCUUUGAGGACUCAAAGAAAAUAUUAUAAAAUUUAGGGAUGGAAUUAAAUGGUGAAUAAUAGAUGAAUGAUUAAGUUGAUGUAGAAUAAUUUAUUGAUAUAGAAUGGGAGUUGUUUUAUGAAAAACAAAUGGAUAGCAGCACUUAAUUCAAGAAUUGAAAAUUAGAUAACACAAGGUUUUGUUUCAUAAUAAAAAGUGGGUGGUUUUGUUGAUUAUUAUAGUAAUAUAGAUCUCAAAUUGUGAGGUGAGAUGUGAGUUUACUUUUCACAAAUAAUGGCCUUCAUUUCUUUAAUCUUCUGCCUCAUGCCAUCCCAACUAAAACAUUAAUAAAAUAAUGAUCAACAAGCCAAAACCCACUUGUAUAAUUUUUACUCCCUGAGAUGGAUUUGUUUGGAAUUAUCCCCUUUUGUUGAUAGGUCAACAUCCAUUUCCCUGUCAUCACCUAAACCCCCCAUGCCCUCAUUUCUUAUUCUUUUUCCUUUGUUACGAUUUCCUACUUUCAAUUAUAUUUUCACCCUUUAUUAUUUAUAAAAUUUUAAAGUUGGGUGCAUGAUAAAAUUAUACUUUAACAUUAAAAAUUAAAAAAUAAAAAUUUAAUUUAAUCUUUUAAAAAUUAUAAAAACGUAACUCCAAACUGGUAAAAGAAUUGCACAGUAUAGCUCAUGUUUAGGGGCUUAAUCCCCUAUAUUAGGUGAGGUUUCUCUGUUGGCAAUGUCCCAAACUUUGUAUCUAGACAUACAAAUCAAUGCCUGUUUUAUGUAUCCUAAAAGCUACCCUGAAAUUGCAAAAUGUUUAACCCAAAUAAAAUAAAAUAAAGAAAGCUACAGAUUUAAAUAUUAGUAUUUUUUUUUAAGAAAUUAGGUUGUUAUAUAUAAAGCAUUUUAGAUAUCUAUGACCAGCAUUAUUGAGGACAUUACUAUUUUAUUAAUGCAAGUUAUGAUAAAUUUUAGAUAAGAGGGAAAUGAUAUGAAUAUGAUUAAAGUAUAUAAAUGUGUCAAAAUUUACAUACUAGUACAAUAUGGUGAUCUGCUACUUUUAUAGGUAAAUAUGCCAAUUAUUCCCUUAAUGAUACCAAUUAUUGGUCUAAAAAAGAAAGGAGGGUUUGGAUGAAAUAAAGAAAGAGUUGAUGGAUUAGUUAAGCAUAAAUAUAUUUAAUUAAGAUGAUAAUUUUGUUCCCAAUGAACCUUACAACAUGUUUUUCAUAAGGAAGAAUUUUGAACAGCCUUUUAGAUUCCCCUGGAUCUAGGCAUUGCCAUUGGUUCCUUCAACAAAACUAAACCUCUAGGGAUUUUUAUUUUUUAUUUUUUUACUAUAUAGAAAAGGGUGAUUGGUCCAGAUCAAAUCCUACCCUCAAUUAUAGCAUUAGUGGAUUUUGUAUAUAUAGAAAUAGAAGAUUAAGUCAUUGCUUGUCAUUUAAGCAUGGAAACUGUAUUGCUUAGUUAAUUUGUAUAAGAUAUAAUAAUGGCUUUAAACUAAACCCCCAACUUGCUUCAGGCUCUUUGAUUGGAAUCAUUACUUAAAGGAGUUGCUUCACACAGUGUAUCUAUUAUAUAUAUAUAUACUGAAGCUGCCAUGCCAUGGAUGUGUCCAAGAGGUGACAAGUUUUUAGAGCUAUGGAUGGGAUUAUCAUGAUUAUGACCUUCCAUCACAAGGGAAUAAUAUCAUGUUUGCCAAUGAUUAGCAUUGGAUUGUAACCUAUCACCACUAAAUUAAAAUAAAAACUUUGGUCAUUUAUGGCGGAAAGAAUAUUUUGAUUAUUUUUAUUUCACGCUUCAAUAAUUGUUUUUUUACUUAAAAAAAAUUGAUAAAUUAAUUUUUGUAUGUUAGAUCAAAAAAUAAAUUAACGUUCUAUUAAAAAAUUUAUCCAUUUAUGCUAGAACGAAGUACGCAUCGCACAUCACGUGUAACUGUUAGGUUAUUCUGUCAACCAUAUUAGUUUUUAGCAAAAAAAGAUCAGUUUUCUCUUUAAUUUAACAUAUAAGAACUAUUGUACCUAUUUUUUUAGUAAAAAAAAAAAGCAAAAUACAAUUUGAUUCUUAGUACACAGACCUCGAUACUACUUUUACCAUGCCAAUUGAAAACUUGAAAUUAUAAUGAAAAAAUUGAUUAGUUAAUUAUUGAUAAUUAGUUUAUAGAAUUAUAUUUAGGAAGUAAUAUUGAAUAACUUUAUAGCUUAAAUUAUGAUGUCUUUUCUUUUUUUUUCAAACUGUAAUUUAGACAAAGACUUCAUUAUCUAUAUAACUAAUAUGAAUAAGGCCUAGCAAGCAGCACCAAAUCUAGUUGUUAUUACUUCAAAAUCUUCUUUUAAAUAUUUUUUUAUCAUUUAGUUUAAGCUAACAACUUUGUUAAUUAUUAAAAUAGUAAUGGGGGAAGGAAGCUAAUUCUUGGAUAAAGGUCCAAAGACAACUAAUUUAAAUAAUCCAAGUAUAAUUUUUAGAAAGUUUUUCAUCUAUUUUGAAUAUAUGGUUGAUGUAUUCACAUUGUAUAAUUUUAUACAUUAUCAAUAAAUGAUUAGACAUUCAUCUAAUCUUAUCCAACCUAAAUUUAAUUAUAAAUAAAUAUAUUGAUAUUAAUAUUAAUAUAAAAUUAUAUUUUUAAAUAGUGGUUUAGAUUAAUUAAACAGACUACAUUGAAUAGAGAUCAAGACAUGAUUCAGUUUAUUUUGACUCCAUCAAUAAAUAUCUCUAAUUUUGACAUAUCAUAACAAAGUUUAAAAUUUAAUUAACCUAAUUUCAUGAAUUUUUUCAAAAAAUAAGGAUGAUCCCUCUUAAAAUACUGGAAGACAUUUUUGAGUUUCAAUAGUCAUUUGCAUGUAUAACAACACUUAGACAUAAAUUGAGAUUUGAUACCCAAAUUAGAAUCAACCUAAAUAAUUAUAAAAAAAAAAAAAGAGUGUUUGGAGACAAUUCACACGAGGGUAUUGAAAUUCAUUUUAAGAGGCUCAGGUGAUUUGAGAUAAGAAUAGAAAGUUUUGUGAUAAUGUUGGUAGAGAAUUGGGCAUAAAAGCAAUGUGUUGCGGUGAUUUAGUUAAUGAUGAGAGUUUACAAAGACUAAUUUGAGUCCAUCAAAUGAGUGUCUUAUUGAGAAGGACAGGUAAAUGAGUGGUGAUAAACCCUCUUGCACAUAUGUCGAUUCAAUGUGGCUUGGAUUAUUAUCUAUAUUUGAGAUGAGUAAUUAUAUAGUAUCCGACGAGAUGUUCCACAAAAUAAUUCAUUAAGAUUAUCUUUUCAUAAUCUAUUCUUUCGUAAAAAUUAUUCCUUCACAUGAACUAUAUAGAACAAAUUCACAAUAAAUCUAACACAAUAUCAUUUCAAAUAGAAAAUUUUCACACGUAAAUCUCUAAAUUCCUUUUUUUUUUUUUAAUAAAAAUUAAAAACAAAAAUUUAAUCCAUUUUAAAAUUUUGACUUUCCCUGUCUAAACUCAUUUUAAUGGCCGAAAAUAGAAAAUGAUUAGACGGUCAAAUGUAGCUUCCGUUGUCCUAACCCCAACUUUGGUAGUUAAGAAUUGGUUGAAACAAUUUUCCGAAGGCAGCUAUAGAAGGGUCCAGGUUGGUGCUUUAAUAUUUAAUUUUGUAUAUUUCCAUAUAUUCCUAUUUUUUAAAUAAAUUUAUGUAAUUCUGAAAUAAAACCUUUUUCGAAAAAUAUUUAAUAAAAAAAAAAAUAGGGGAAGAAUUUGGUUGGGUGUAUAAAAUUGAACAUAUUGGUAACAAGUUUGAUUUGGUAUUUGUGAGUCUAAAAGAAAAACACCUUUUUGUUUUCUUAAAAAAUGUAACCAUAAAUUAUGGCAUGCCCUAAAAUGAAGACAUGCAAGGAUUUCCCUUUCUCCCAACAAAAACGAACACACUGCAUGAGACACAGGAAAGUACCUAACUAUUAUUUCUAUCUCCAUAUACGAUUUGAAGAAUAUAAACGUUAUGAUUCAAUUUUUAAAAUAUUUUUACUAUUACCUCCCUAUUCACCAUGUCUAUAUCUUGGAUAUCACUGUGUUAUUAUAAUAGAAAUAAUUCUUAUCUAUUUUAUUAAUUUUGUAUGCAUUAUGACUUUUUUGGUCAUCAAAUCUUACCUAAAAAUAUUUUUUUUAUUCUUCUAUUUAUUUUCAUCUCUUUUAGCCUUUAAACUUCUGUUGUUUGUCAAAUUCCUCUAAAAUAGAUGGAAAAGUGAAUGUUUGUUAACUUUACUCGUGUAUUCCAUGUUAGCAAUUAAUUAAUUUUUUAAAUAUUUUUUAAAAAUAUUUUUUUAAUAUUUUUUAAAAAUAUUUUUAUAAUUUUUAAAAAUUUAAAAGUUUAAUUAAUUGCUAACGUGGCAAUCCAUCUGUAUGCCACUUUAGCAAAGUUAUCAAUCGUUAAUUUUUCUAUUCAUUUUGUGGUGAUUUGGCAAACAAUGCAAGUUUAAGGGCUAAAAAAGGCGAAUGUUGCUAAAUUCACCACCAUUCUAUGGUUGGCACGCUCUGCUCCACCAUAUGCGUCACUCUGCUAUAGAUGUAAAAAACUUAAAAACCACUACCACCCCAUGGAUAUUGGAUGCAUCCAUCCCCAUCUUACCCCACCCUUGCUUCACUUCAAUUUAACUUUUGGUAUUUAUUUUUUAAUAUUUUUAUUCUUUUUAAAUGCAAGUAAAUAUUUAAAUAUAUUUCUUCAAAAAAAUAUUUAAACAUAAAACAUAUAUACUUUUUCUAUAACACAUUAUUACAUUUUUACCAUUUCAAUAAUAUUAUAUAUAGAAGGAUAAAAUCAUAAUUUUAUAUAGUAGAGCAAGGCAGAGUAAACAAUAACCAUAAUUGCUCCAUACCCAUUUUCUAAAAUAAAAAUUCAUCCCGCCCAACUCCACAGUUCACUUUUUAAAAGAAAAGAAUCACCCCAUUUGAAGCGGAUUGAUUUGGAACCCAUAAGGCGGUUCAAGUUUUGCCAUCCCUGAGAUGGCGAGACUUAAACUUGCGCCAAUUAGAGUAGUAAAACCUUAAAUUUACUACUCAAUCAAAGGUUUAUUUUGAUUCGUUUAUACAUUUUUUAAUUUGCAAAAUUUAUUAUUUCUACGAGUUGUAUGUUUAUACUUACUAUUAAUAAAGCCCCUGAUUGAGUUAGUGUCACAAGUCAAUCGAGCACCAACUCAAUCAAGAAAAUUACAGAAAUAUCUUUCAGUAAUUAAAAUAAGUUACAUUACUCGAAGGCAUUUUAGACUAUUCAUUUUAACAAAAAACUAAUAAAAAUAUACAUGUUGUGUGAUUUAAAUGUGCAUCAAAUAGAUUAGUAAAAUCUUAAAUUUACCAUUAAACCAAAGCUUCAUCUUGACGUAUUUCAUACAUUUUUAUUUUAAUAUGCACAAUUUAUUAUCUCCAUCAGUUGCACAUCUAUACUAUUAAUAAAGCCCCUAACUAAGUUGAUGUCACGAGUCAACUCAAUACUAACUCACAAUUGAUGACAAAACCAUGAUAAAUAAUUGUAAUGUAUUUAGUAUUGUUUAUUUGAUGUUUUUAUGUGUUUAAAUUUCGUUUUACUCAUAAUUUAAUCUAAUUUUUUUUAUUUUAAUAUUGUACAUAUGUUAUUAUAAUUAAUUAGUUUCAAACCAUAGCUUUAUUAUAGGUUGUUUUUAAACACAUAUCUAUAUUUUAAAUAAGUGAUUUCCACACGCAUGUGUGUGAUAGACUUUCUAGUGUAUAUAAUAUUGAUACUUACACUCAAUUAAUUUGUUUUAAACAAUAGUUUGAGCAUAUUCGAUGGAAUUAAUCCUGAAAAUCAGUAAAAGAAAACAAUUAUCAAAAUUGGAAAAAAAAAAGGUUUAUAUCAUAAUAAAUUUAAUGACUAAAUUAUUCAAAAGAAAUUUAAAGUUAAAAGAAAUCAAUUACCAUUAUAGUUGUGUUUCAACAAUAUUACAUUGAAUACCAUGUGAAGAAGGAAAGUAUUUUCAACAAAUUGACAUGUUCGUAACCUUACAAGGCAAGGCAGCUAUAUAAAAUUUUAUAUACAUAAACAUAUAAUUAAUGAAAUAAGUCGAGACAUUUAAAGACAAGCUAAGCACUUCCUUACAAAGAUCUCACCAAAUCUGGCUAGAAUUAAUAAAGAAUCAAUAGCCCAACAAAAUGGAUCACUGUUCAAAUGUUGAACCGUAUUUUCAACUUAGGAAUACCACUAUUCAGUAGUCAUAUGCCUACCAUGUACUUCGAAUAAAGUCGGCCAUGAAUCGGACCUUAUUCUAGUUGGUUCGUGCAACUACCUAAAUUCGGAUUUCAGCAUCUGCAAUUCCUUUCGAGUAAAAGAAAAGUGAGGAAGCAAUGGAGUUAGGGAGUUUCCUUCCAUUGCAGUAUUAAAGAGGCAACCAAAGGUAAAAUUUAGCAACAAUGCCGCACGCCCCUCAUCAUAGACCCCAUCACUUUCCUCUUCUUAAUUCACAUUCACGCAUGCAGGUGAGUGCAUUCCUUACAUACCCUGUUGCUGUGAAUUUCAACUCAGUAUCAUUGGACCAUCCUGCUCCAAAUAAGUAGGCAAACAAUAAAAAGAUAAAGAACCCCAAGUAAACAACAAAAAAAGCCUAAUAGUGUUCAUCGUUCAAGAACGCAGGAAACGGAAAGCUCGUGCUGAUUUACAACAUAUUAGUUCUGGGUCCGAUCCAUGGCCAACUCCUACCCUUAUCCUCUAAUCAAAAAAUAAAUAAAGUUGCAGAUGAAUGUCAGAAUAAGUGGCAGGCUGGCUAAUAAAAACUAUAUGAUGUAUAAUAACUUCUAACACUAAGGUGUGAAGAUCAAUUACGGCAGCUUAGUUUGUGAAGUCAGAAAGCAACUAAGCAUUUCUUGAAGUCAGAAAAAAUGAUGCCAGAGUAGACCUGCUGAUGGGUCGGGUUACCCGGCCCGGCCCGGCCCGAAAGCCCGCAGAAAUGUAAGAGGGUUUGGGCAAAAAUAUAAGCCCGAAAAAUGGGCUUGGGCAAAAAAUAAGGCCCAUUUAAAAAAUAGGCCGGGCCUCGGGUAAGGUAUUUUUGGUCUUACCCGAGGCCCGGCCCGAAUUCACUAAAUGACAAAAAAAUCUACUAUUUUUUUUAAUAUUAUUUUCUUGUUGUUUUCUCCCUAUUUUGCUACCAUAUUACUAUUAGUUGCUAUUAUUUUGUUGUUAUUGUUUGGAUAUUGUAUAAAACUUAUUUUAUUAUUAAUUUUGUUAUUAUUUUAAAGGCAUUUGUUAAUUUUGUUAUUAUUUUAGAGGUAUUUGCUUGUUAAGUUGCAUCUAUCUUAGUGCUAUUUAAGUCUACAUAUUUUUUAAAAUUUAUUUUUUAUUUGUUGGAAAAUAUUUAUUUUGAUUUAUUUUAAUAUUUUUGAUGUAUUAUAUAUAUUUAUAAAUUAUAUAAAAAUAAAUACGGACGGGCCGGGUCAAGUCCAAGUUUUAGUAUUUUUAUUUGGGUCGGGCUCAACUAAUAAUUUAAGCCUAUUUUUUUAGGCCCAGCCCAGCCCGAGCCCAAUGAAUGGGCCUAAAUUAUUAAUUGAGCCCGGCCUGAACCCAGCCCGGCCAUGAGCACCUGAGUAAUACUAUGAAGUCAGAGGGAAGCUAUGCUUACCAUAUUAAAAUGGCCAAGGGAACACAUCCAACGACAGAGAUUGGUUAUUCAAGUUUCUAAGGUGGAUUCUGAAAAGGUAAUUAACAAUUGCAGUGCAAAAGGAAAUACAAAAGAAAAUCACAACUCUUUUAGUACUUUAUGAUCUCUGUUAGUGGCCCGUGCACCCUACAAUAUGCCUCCACAUGAUAACUGAACAGAAAAUUCAAAAGGAACAUUCACCUGUUUCAUGAUAAGAGAAUCAAUCACAGUUACAGAACCAAAGAUACAAACACUGCUAGUAAUUGGUUCAACCAGAAGCAAAGUCAUAAAAUGACAACGAAAUAAAUGUACAAAUUGUACAAGUCCCAAAACUGUAGAAAUGCUUUGAUGGGGUAGUUUUAUCUUGAUCAGCAAGAGACAAGCACUCACCAUUUUGUCUUGGAAUGUUCUAAUCAUGGACUGCUAUUUUAUCAAUGAUUCUCAUCCAUUUUAUAAGCAGAACAUACUAAUAUGGGUAUAAUGUGUAUACACACAAAACAAAAUAUUAAUUUUGGAUAAAGCUCUUUGAAACUUUAGCUUCAUCAAAGGUGUUAAUAUAAGGCAAAUAAUACAUAAAAGGACAUUCCAUAUGAAUGCAGGCAAAAAAAUGAGAGAGAUCUUCAAUUCUGGAAGAGAACAACAUGGUCAAUAUUCAAUAAUAGCAAAGGAGCAAAAUGACAAUUGAGUGAAAAAAACAACUUAUUCUUUUGAUUGCAUAUAUUUUCCUAUCAAACUGAAAAAAUGACAUCAAUGAAUUGUAAGACACAAAAAGGCAAGAUGUUUGGGAUUUACAUUUUGUAAAUUCUACCUGCAUAUCUGCUCAUAUAAUUCACAACUGAUACAGGACUUGACUUUAGAAAUUCAAUUGAGAGAACUUUACUCAUAUUCAAAUUGCACCUCUACAUGCAUGUAUUUCCUCAUAAGCCGAACAAUAGAUGAGGUGAAUUUGGCCAAUAUCUGGCAUUCCUCGUGUGACUUGGCUUCUGAAAUAACCCCAAAAAUAAUAAUUUUCUUAAGAUUUGGGCAUCGUUUUAGCAGCUCCUCAACCCAAUGCGAGAAGAAGUCAUUGAUUACAGUCCAUCCAAGCUCCAGCACUGUCACAUUCUCCAAAUUAGAAGAUCCUUGGAGACCAUAAUGCAUGAGACCAUCUCUCAAUUCGUAGCAUAAUGAAAGAUGGUUCAAUUGUGGAAAACAAACAGCAAUUGUUUCCAAGUCGAUACCCUCAUCAUAAUCAUCAAAAGUGACAUCCCAAAGCCGGAGCUUCCUCAAUUUUGAGGAUCUUGAAAUCAUCUGGUAGAACUUUGUCCAGAUUAUUGUGAAGCUACUUACAUCAAUAACCUCAAGAUUAUCAACAGUCUCAGCAAUGUCAAGAUGUAUCACACUAACAUCAUCAAUCUUAAAAUAUUUCAAAGUGCCUUUCCCAAUCAAUUCAAAAACCUCAAGGGCACAAUCCCUCAAGUGCAAACGCUCAAUACUAUCAGUCUCCAGGAUAAAUUUAUCCAAACUAAUAGCUUCAACAUAAAUAUUCUUUAGUGUCGGGCUACUCAGUUCAACCGUCACCUGUGCAUCUGAUAUUGCUAUCUCUGGGUCAACAAGUUCCAAGCUCUCAAGCUUUGGACAUGCAGUGAGCAAUAGGCUCAAAUCCAAAGCUGAAAUAGAAACAUGACUCAGAGAGAGGGACUUCAAACAAGGGAAUCUCUGAAAAUUAGGUUCAACACCUGUUACAGAAUUGUGGGCUACUGCCAAUAUUUCCAGCUUCUGCCUCCCACAUAUUGCAAGAAUGUUAACAUUUGGGCUAGUCGGGACAUUAUAAAACAACCGGCGCAAGGUUUCUCUGGUAUACAUGAGCCAAGCAAUAACAGUUGAAGCCGUGAACUCACCAGCAUCAUCCAUCAAAAUAGACAAGCCUUGCAGUCCUGUUGUUUGGAAGAUUGUUCGAGUAAUUAAGAUCUCUAAUAGUAUAGGUGAAAUAUCACAAUAAGCAGGCCAAUCAUUAGAAUUAAAUGCUAAGGUGUGAAGGUGUUUCCGAUAAGCUUCACGCCAUUUUCGACAUGUUGCAGAGGCUAUCACCACAUCCCGGGCACCUUCAAGGCGAGAUAAAAUAUUUCCAAUUACUUCAACAGGUAGAUGCUCCAUUUCCAACAAAGAUCAAAAGCCUUAAAUCCGCUAUUUGGAUUUCUAAAGAUACUCAACUAGAUAUAAGCAAACAACACAUAUUCUUCACUACUCAACAAACAAAGUUGAAGGGUUGAGAAAUCGUCACCAAAAUCUUGUUUCCCGGCACUGAAAAUUGGUCUGUACAAUAAAACAAAAAUAAAAGCUACUCAAAAACAUGAUUUUGUGGCAGUAUUGUAAAUAAUUAUCUAGACUAGCUAUAUUAUGACAUAUUGGUAUAGUUACAGGGUAAGAAAAAUAUUCAGAAAUUCCUAAACAUAUUCUCCUCUCUUCUUCUAUUCUCUCUCUCUUUUUCUCUUUUUCUUUUUUUUUUAAAUAAAUUCUGCACUCAAGAUUUAGGCUCCUAUCAGAUUUUUAGUUAGAUCUCCAAACAUAUUCCAUAUCCAAAUAAAACAAAGUCUAGCAUAUAAAAAAAAAAAAAAACUUGUUGGGUUUCAAGAGGAAUUCGGAGUAUCAUAAUAUCAGCAAGAAUCCAAUUAAAUAAAGGACCAAAAUUGACCAUAAGAUAAGGAUCAAGGCCAAAAUCAUGUAUCUGAGUACUUUAAAGUUUGAUUUUUAUAAUCUAAAAUCACUUCAAUACCUCAGACAAGAUAACAAAAAUAUGGCUUAAUACAGAAUUAUCCAAGAACUCAAAAUACCUAUCAAACCAGAUAAAGACAAAUAAUGAUUCAAAGAGAAAAAAAAAUCAAAAAAUAAAUUUUAGCAUCUGGACAUAUAACAAAAUAAGUCGAAAAAUGUACGAAAGAAAAUUUUGAAAUAUAUAGAAACAAAUCAAUCAAAAGCAAAAUAAAUCAGCCAAAAGAGAUAAAGAACUUACCAGAAAUCAGAGGGGGAAAAAACUUUGGCAGUAACAAAUGAUUUGAAGUGAGGGAUAAGGUUUUGGUGAAGAGUUAGAUUCAAAGUAUUUCAAUGCUUUUUCUCAUUGGAUUUUUGAAAUUUAUUUGAAAAAGCAAGUCACACGAUAACGUGCCUUUCGUUCUCCUCUCUUUAUGCAACCCUGGCUUGGCCGCAGUAGCGGUUUAAUUUCACGCCAACGUGGGUCCUCUCUCUUCCUUUUUCCUCUGUCACGCUUGUAUAAAUAUAUAUAUUUACUGGGUUAAGUACCAAUGAGAUUGGUAUGAAAGUUAAUUCGGUAUUUAUAUUUUUUUCCAAUUAGGUAUUUAUUUUAAAAAUAUUAGUAAUUAAGUUUUAACACUAUAAAGUAUAAAAGUUUUAUCCAAUCAACACUUGACAAGUGUUUUUUCAGUGUUUUCUAAUUAAGUUUGUCGAAACCAUUUUUUGAUUUAAAAAUUUUAAAUUUUUUUUUAAAAAAAGGUGUAAUCGACUUUUGAAAAACAAAUGCAUGGAGUCGCCACCGAUCUUUUGUUUUGGUGUGAUCGGAUUACCUAAAAAUUUGGUUAUUUUAAUAAAACAUUUAUGAUUUACUAAAACAACAAUUUUGGUCUACAAAAAUUUUAGAAAACGGGCUCGGGAGUCGGUUACGCAUGAGGAAGGAUUAACACCCUCACUACGCCCGAAAUUGGUACCAAAUCGAUUAAAUAUUGUCCUUAUGUCUAAAAUUAAAAAUGUUUUUGAAAUGUGGCUUUUUUAUAAAAGUUGAAUAACCCGAAUUAAUCGUCAAAAAUUUUCUUGUUUCGAUGUCCGGAAAUUUAUAAUUCGAAAAUCACGAAAGGAUGCUCAACUAUUUAGUCCAACGAAAAAUCGAAACCCAGUACAGUAGGGCACGAUUCUUCGAAUUCCCAAACAUUUAUCAUUGCCUCACUUUGGAAAAUACGAGUGAAAUCCCGGAGAGAUAUUUGAUUAUUUCGGUCAGACGGGAGAUUGCAACCCAGCACGAUAGGGCACUAUUCCCUGAACUGCCCAAACAUCAAACACUUCUUUCGUUUUAAAGGGUUUUUAGAAAACGUGGAUGAAACUUCAAAGGGAUCUUCGAUUGCUUAGAAUAAAUGAAAAAGCGCAACCCAACACGAUAGGGCACGAUUCUCAAAUAUCCAAUCAUCGAACAUCCUUUGCUUUGAAAGGUUUUUAAUAAGCAUGGGUGAAAACCUAAAGGAAUAUUCGAUUGUUUUUGAGCAAACGAGAAAUCACAACCCAGCACGAUAAGGUAUGAUUCUUGAAUCAUCAAACACUGAGUAUUGCCUUUAUUUGCGAAAAAUCUUAUUUCGAGGUAACAACAUGUCAUACCCGGUAAGUUAGGGCACCACACCUCGUAUCUCCAAAAAUAAACAUUUUUUUUAACUCACAUUGUGAUUAAAAGGAAUAUUACAUUAUUUAGGUUAAAUAAGAAGAAUCGAAACCCAGUAAGUUAGGGUACGAUUAUCUCGAAUUACCUAAUACGGAAUAUUACUUUUAUGAAAGACUUGUUUUAAUAUAUUGAGUAAGAAAAAUAACAUGAUUUAUAAUAAAACAUAAAAGCAAAUUAUAAUAUUAAUGUGAAUAAUAACAUAAUAGGUGCGACAGUGUCAAAGACGAUAAUAUGAGUAAUUAUAAAAGAUGAAGUAAUAGCAAGACUAGUAAUAUGUAAAUAUAAACAAAUGCAUGAGGAAAAUGAAAUGAUCGAAGACAUAAGCAAAUUAACGAAUAAAUGAAAAUGAAUAAAACAUGGAACAACAAAAAUGGCAAUAACAAUGAUAAUAAUAAUAAUAAUAAUAAUAUAACGUAGAAAAUAAUGAUAAUAAUAUAUGAAUUAAAAUAUAUAUAUACAUGCGUAUACCAAAGACACAUUCAUAAUAAUAGUAUUGAAUAUUAAAAGUAUAUAUAUAACAGAGACAAAAAUAUAUGCACAAUGUAGUAUUGAAAGUAUUUACAUGGGAUAAUGUAUAAAAAAUAUAUAUAAAUAAUGUGAUAUUAAAAAUAUAUACAUAAAAAUAAUAUAUAUAAUAUACAUAAUAUAGUAUUAAAAAUAUAUAUAAUACAUACACACUAGAAAUAAUAAUAAUAAUGUUACAAAAAAAUUAUUAAUAAUACUUCAUAAAUAUAUACAUACAUAUAUAUAUUAUGUUAAAAAUAAGUACAUAUUAAUAUUAAGAUGAUGAUAAUAUUAAAAUAACCAUUAAUAACUUUACAUAUAAAUAUAUAUACAUAUAAGUAUGAUAAUAGUAAUUAUAAUACUAAUACUAAUAAUAAAUACAAUAAUAGUAGUAAAAAUAAACACAAUAAUAAUCAUGAAAAUAAUGUGUACAUGAAAAAUAAUAAUGAUAUGAUAAAAUGUAAUGACCCAAAAUUCAUGGGCAUCGGAAAAGUAUAAUAUCGGGCCUCCGUCCUAGUAAAUUGAGUCCGAAAAUAAUUAUUAGAAAUAUUUACGAGACUAGUAGUGUGUUUAAUUAGGUUUUAAUUAAGUAAAUUUAGCUUAAUUUAGAGUAAUUAGUAAAAAGGAUUAAAUUGAAUAAGAGUAAAAGUUUAAUUAUAGAUUAAAGGAAAAUAACAGGGACCAAAUGGGCAAUUAAGCCACAUUUGGAAGUUGAGGCGGCAUAACAUUGUAAAAAUCUUAGAUUUUUAUAUUAUUAUUUAUAUAAAUAUAUAAAUUAAUUAUAAAGUAUAUUAUUAAAUUAAUUACAUUAUAAAUAUUAUAUUAUUAUAUAUAAAAGAAACAAAACAGAAAAGAAACAGAAUAGAAAGAACAAAGAAACAGAAUAGAAGAGACGAAACAGGGGAGAAGCAGGGGAGAAAGAAGAAAAAGAAGAAAAAAGGGAAAAUAGGGUUUUUGAAGCUUGAAAUUUAAAUUGGUAAGUCAAAUUAGCCCUUUUCUCUUAAUUCUAAUGUUUUAAAAGCUUUAAAACAAAGUUUUGAUGGAAUUAAGUUGAUAUUUUGUAAGUUCAUAGGUUUUCAAGUAUAGUUUAUGUUGAACAAAAGAGAUGAAUUAGGGAUUAACUUGAAGGAAUUUUAAGUUAGAAUUGAAAAAGGGAUUAAAUUGUAAAAGAAACUAUAAGUUUUAUGUUUUAGGGACUAAAUUGAGGGAAAUUCGAAAUUACCAAAAUAUGCUGAAAUUUUGAUAGUUAAAUUUUAGUUUGGAUGAAAUUUGAAUAGAAAUAGAGUGUGAAUUGAAUUAGGAAAGUAAGUGAAUUUAGUUAGGAUUAAAUUGAGAAUAAGGAAGAAAUUGAAUAGAAAUUUAAUUAUUAUCAUAAUUAGUGCUGAAAUUAAUAGUAUAAAUUAUUAUCAUUUUCGUAGCUAGCAAAGAACCAGAAGCGUCGGCACGGAAGGGAAAAGAGAAGAUUAUCGAGGAGUAAACUCGAGAAAAUUACGGUUUGUAUUACUAUAAUUCAAAUUAUUUAUUUUUUUAUGUUAAAUUUUAAUUUAUGUGUCUAGUAAAUGAAAUGUGAGGUAAGUAUUAAUAUUAGUAUUAGUAUUAUUAUUAGUAUUAUUAUUAUGAGUGGGAAUUAAAUUGAAUAGUUGAUAUGAAAUAAUAUUUGAAUUGUUUGUUGAUUGAAAGCGGGAAAUGAAUUUAAAUCGAAUAGUGACCGAUAUUAAAUUGAAUGGAAAUGUAUUGAGUUGUGAAAGUAUGUUAAUUGCGGAUUAAUUAUUGAUUGAAAGGUGGAAAAAUGAUUGAAUUGAAAGUGUGAAAAAGUGUGAUUGAAUUGAGAAUAUAUGUGAUUUAAAUACCCUAUUAACUAGUCGGGCUGAGUCGGAUAUAGUUGGCAUGCCAUAGGAUUGGAAGAGUUCAGGGAUACUUCGACCUCGAGUCGAUGAGACACUGGGUGUCACUAUAUUUCUUCGGAUAGAUUCGAUGAGGUACUGGGUACCAACUUUCUUCGGCUUUGCCGAUGAGACACUGGGUGUCAACUAUUGCUUCGAACUAUCCGAUGAGGCACUGGGUGCCAUUCUGGUGUGUUUGGUUGGAUCCGUGUAUCCGCCAAAGUCCGAGUUUUGUUAAUAGGGUAAAUGAUGAAAUGAUAAACCGAACGAGUUGGUCAAACGAGCUAUUGAAAUGAUAUGAAAAAGUUGAAUUGUGAAUUGAAAUGUGAAAUGAGAUUGAGAAAUGAACCUAAGGUUCGUGAAUUAUUCAAACUCAAAUUGUGGAUAUACGAUAUUGGUUGAUGAAUUGCUAUUGUUGAAAUAUUUAAUUUAAAUUGUAUAUACGAUUUAUGCUUUACAUGUACAUUAUUGUUAUAAUUUGAAUUAUGGUAAUACCACUGAGUAUGAAUUACUCAGCGUACGGUUGUUUCCGUGCGCAGGUCAAUAGAAGUCAAAGGUCCCGGUUCAGCAUCCAGAUUAAUCCCGGCUUCGGCAAAACUUGGUGAUGUAUUUUCCUUUGGUAAAGGUGGCAUGUACAUAGAUUGUGUAUAAAGGUUAUAUGUUUUAUUAUAUAAUGGUUAAAAAUGUUAGUAUUAAAAGUUUAUGGAUUUUAAUGAAAGAAGUCUAUCUAUUUUAUCUAAUUAGUACAUUGUUAAAUUUUAAAUUGAUAUUGUGUAGAUUGAGUUUGAUUAGAAGUAUUUAGAAUAGAAAAUGUGAAUGUGAAAUGAAUUGGUUGAAUUGAUGAUAUUUGGGAACUAUAUGGUUUUAAUUUGCAGAGGAUUUUAUGUAAAAGUAAGCAGAAAUGCUGCCGAAAUUUUUAUUAAAAAAAAAAUGAAGUCAUUUGGUAAACAAACUAAUAAAUUUUAUGAACUAUUUUAAUAUAUUGGUUAUUUAUUUAAGAAUUGUUGUAAAUCGUUCGAUACGUCCGGUAAUGCCUCAUAACCUCGUUCUGGUAACAGUUUAGGGUUAGGAGGUGUUACAAUUGUUGGUAUCAGAGCUAUCAGGUUUAGCCGAUUCUCGGCCUAAAUCGAGCUCGGAAUUGAGUCUAGAUGUACAUGCCACUGUCGAGUUAAACUGAGUCGGGAUUUUUGGAUGCUGACCUAUUUGUUUGUUUUGUUUUAUAGAUUAAAGAUGUCUGAAGAAAGAAUAAAUGAUACUGAUGAAAGAAUGUAUAGUGAAGAUAGAGAAUUAGAUGAAACAGAAUCUGUUGCACCGAGUGUGAAUCCGUUAGGCAACCAACCUUCUAAUGUAGAACGAGAAAAUGUCAGAGAUAGAGAUGAAUCCCAAUUACUGAGAAUUAUAGCUGAUGCAUUACAAAGAGUAGCAGGAACUACUCAUGUUACGACUUCAGUACCUACUGUUAGACGGGCUCCGAUAAAGGAACUGAGGAAAUAUGGUGCCACUGAAUUUAUGGGUCUAAAAGGAGUUGAUCCAUCCAUAGCUGAAAAUUGGAUGGAGUCGACUAAAAGAAUUUUGCAGCAAUUGGAUUGUACCCCCCGAGAGUGUUUAAUCUGUGCCGUAUCGUUAUUACAAGGGGAGGCUUAUCUAUGGUGGGAAUCAGUGGUUCGACAUUUACCAGAGAGUCAGAUAACGUGGGAUCUAUUUCAGAAGGAGUUUCAAAAGAAAUAUAUCGGAGAGAUGUAUAUUGAAGACAAGAAACAAGAGUUUUUGUUGCUACAACAGGGUGAUAUGUCAGUAAUAGAUUAUGAGAGGGAAUUCUCGAGACUCAGUAGAUAUGCCUCCGAGUUUAUUCCGACAGAAGCCGAUAGUUGUAAAAGAUUUUUACGGGGUUUACGAGACGAGAUCAAAGUGCAGCUAGUAUCCCAUCGGAUCACUGAGUUAGUAGAUUUGAUUGAACGAGCUAAAAUGGUGGAACAAGUUCUGGGCCUCGACAAAAAGACUGAAGUUGUUAGACCAACCGGGAAGCGUACAGGAACUACCAGUUCGAAUCCUCAGCCGAAAAGACCAAAGGAAUUCCAAAGUGGUUGGAGAUCCAGUUUCAGGUCAGACAGAGGUGGUAGAAGUAGGGGAAAACAGACGAUGACAUCUACUGGCAGUGUGAGAGGUCCUUCCCGAGAAAUAGAUAUUCCAGACUGCCAACACUGCGGAAAGAAACACAGAGGGGAAUGUUGGAAAUUAACUAGAGGCUGUUUUCGAUGUGGUUCUACAGACCAUUUCAUCAGAGACUGUCCGAAAGUUGAUAGUACUGUACCCGUGACAUCACAGAGAUCGGUAUCUACAGCUAGAAGCAGAGGGUUAGGAAGAGGUGGUUCGGUUUCAAGGGGAGGAAGUAUUAGGAGAAGCAAUGAUAUUGCUACUCAGCAGUCUGAGGCUAAAGUACCUGCCAGAGCUUAUGUGGUCAGAACACGGGAAGAAGGUGACGCCCACGAUGUAGUAACAGGUAUAUUCUUACUAUAUUCUGAGCCUGUUUAUGCUUUAAUUGAUCCCGAAUCUUCACAUUCUUAUAUAAAUUCAAAAUUAGUUGAAUUGGGAAAAUUUAAUUCUGAAAUAUCUAGAGUGACUGUAGAAGUGUCGAGUCCGUUGGGGCAAACAGUAUUAGUGAAUCAGAUCUGUCCGAGAUGCCCGUUAAUUAUACAAAAUAAAACUUUUCCUAUUGACCUGUUAAUUAUGCCAUUUGGAGAUUUUGAUAUAAUACUGGGGAUGGAUUGGUUGGCUGAGCACGGAGUGGUAUUGGAUUGUUAUAAAAAGAAGUUUAGUAUUCAGACAGAAGACGGGGACAGAAUUGAGGUAAAUGGUAUCCGUACUAAUGGGCCGACACGUAUUAUUUCGGCAAUAAAGGCUAAUAAAUUGCUUCAGCGGGGUUGUACAGCGUAUUUAGCCUGUGUUAUUAAUUCUGAUUUGGUUGGUAGUCAGUGCAGUAAGAUUAGAACCGUAUGUGAGUUUCCAGAUGUAUUUCCUGAAGAGCUACCGGGUUUACCACCUGACAGAGAGGUUGAAUUUGCUAUAGAAGUGUAUCCGGGUACAGCACCAAUCUCUAUACCACCGUAUCGAAUGUCACCCACUGAGUUGAAAGAGUUGAAAGUGCAGUUACAGGACUUGUCAGAUCGUGGAUUUAUUAGACCGAGCAUUUCACCUUGGGGAGCUCCAGUAUUGUUUGUUAAAAAGAAAGAUGGAUCGAUGCGGCUUUGUAUUGAUUACCGGCAGUUAAACAAAGUGACGAUCAAGAACCGGUAUCCGUUACCCCGUAUAGAUGAUUUAUUUGAUCAGCUAAAAGGAGCUUCAGUAUUUUCAAAGAUUGACUUAAGAUCUGGGUAUUAUCAGCUGAAGGUAAAAGAAAGUGAUGUUCCGAAGACUGCAUUUCGUACUCGAUAUGGUCAUUAUGAAUUUUUGGUGAUGCCGUUCGGGUUGACUAAUGCUCCAGCUGCUUUUAUGGAUCUGAUGAAUCGUAUUUUUCAGCCGUAUUUAGAUCAGUUUGUGGUGGUUUUUAUUGAUGACAUCUUGGUUUAUUCGAAGUCAGAGUCAGAGCAUGAUCAGCAUCUCAGAACCGUGCUACAGAUUCUGCGAGAAAAAUAGUUGUACGGGAAACUAAGUAAAUGUGAAUUCUGGUUAUCAGAGGUAGUAUUCUUGGGACAUGUUGUAUCUGCGGAUGGGAUUAGAGUUGAUCCGAAGAAGAUCGAGGCAAUUGUUCAAUGGAAGGCACCAAAGAAUGUAUCAGAGGUACGCAGUUUUCUUGGUUUGGCUGGGUAUUACAGAAGAUUUGUAAAUGGGUUUUCGAAGAUAGCUUUGCCGAUGACCAAAUUACUACAGAAGAAUGUUCCAUUUAUCUGGGAUGAUCAGUGUCAGAGGAGCUUUGAAACAUUGAAACAGAUGUUGACAGAGGCACCAGUUUUAACUUUACCAGAAUCAGGGAAAGAUUUCAUAGUGUACAGUGAUGCUUCUUUGAAUGGUUUGGGUUGUGUAUUGAUGCAAGAAGGAAAAGUAAUAGCUUAUGCAUCUCGACAGUUGAAGUCACAUGAACGCAACUACCCGACACACGAUUUAGAGUUAGCUGCUGUAAUCUUUGCAUUGAAGAUUUGGAGACAUUACUUGUAUGGUGAGAAAUGUUAUAUUUACACUGAUCAUAAAAGUCUUAAAUAUCUUCUGUCACAAAAGGAGUUGAAUCUGAGACAGAGACGGUGGAUUGAACUUCUGAAAGAUUAUGAUUGUGUUAUAGAUUAUCAUCCAGGGAAGGCAAAUGUGGUAGCAGAUGCAUUGAGUAGAAAAGCAGCGAUUGAAUUACGAGCAAUGUUCGCUCGACUUAGUAUUAAGGAUGAUGGAAGUUUGUUAGCUGAGUUAAGAGUCAAGCCGGUGAUGUUUGAUCAAAUCAGAGCAGCACAGUUAAAAGAUGAAAAGUUGAUGAGGAAAAGAGAAAUGGUACAGUAUGGUGCGGUAGAAAAUUUUAGUAUUGACGAGCAUGAUUGUUUGAGAUUUCGGAAUCGAAUUUGUGUUCCAUCUACUUCUGAGAUUAAAGAAUUGAUUCUCCGAGAAGCACAUGAUAGUAUUUUUGCUUUGCACCCAGUAGGAACGAAGAUGUAUCGUGAUCUACGAGAACUGUAUUGGUGGCCAGGAAUGAAGAAAGAUAUAGUUGAAUAUGUCAGUAAAUGCUUGACUUGUCAGCGGGUAAAAGCAGAACAUCAGGUACCAACAGGCCUGUUACAGCCUAUUACUAUUCCCGAGUGGAAAUGGGAUCGCAUUACCAUGGAUUUUGUUACGGGGUUUCCAUUAUCAGUGAGUAAAAAGAAUGUUAUUUGGGUGAUUGUUGAUCGACUCACAAAAUCAGCUCAUUUUAUAGCAGUUAGAACCGACUGGUCAUUACAGAAGCUUGCCGAGGUUUAUAUUCGAGAAAUUGUUAGAUUACAUGGUAUUCCGGUAUCAAUAAUUUCAGACAGAGAUCCUCGAUUCACUUCGAGAUUUUGGAAGCAGCUGCAUGAAUCAUUGGGUACUCGACUUAGUUUCAGUACAGCUUUUCAUCCUCAAACUGAUGGACAAUCUGAACGAGUAAUUCAGAUAUUAGAAGAUAUGCUUCGAGCUUGUGUCAUUGAUUUUGAAUCAGGUUGGGAACGUUAUUUACCAUUGGCCGAGUUUGUUUAUAAUAAUAGUUUCCAAUCUAGUAUUCAAAUGGCUCCAUAUGAAGCACUUUAUGGUCGAAGGUGUCGAUCACUAAUAUGUUGGACUGAAUUAAGAGAAAGAAAAGUGAUUGGGCCGGAAUUGAUUCAAGAGACAGAAGAAACAGUUAAAAAGAUUAAAGAUAGACUGAAAGCCGCUUUCGACAGACAGAAAUCUUACGCAGACUUGAAACGACGAGACAUUGAAUAUUCCGUUGGUGAUAAGGUAUUCCUCAAAGUAUCGCCGUGGAAGAAAAUUUUGAGAUUUGGUCGGAAGGGAAAAUUAAGUCCGCGCUUUAUUGGGCCGUAUGAGAUAGUGGAAAGAAUUGGGCCUGUUGCUUAUCGAUUAUCCUUACCUCCAGAGUUACAGAAAAUUCAUGAUGUUUUUCAUGUUUCGAUGCUUCGGAGAUAUAGAUCGGAUCCUUCUCAUGUUAUUCCCACUGAAGACAUUGAACUUCGAUCUGAUUUAACUUAUGAAGAAGAACCAGUUCAAAUAUUAGCACGAGAAGUGAAAGAAUUAAGAAAUAAACGGGUUCCUUUAGUAAAAGUUUUAUGGAGAAGCCAUAGUGUGGAAGAAGCAACUUGGGAACCGGAAGAGACAAUGAGAGCACAAUAUCCUCAUCUCUUCUCAGGUAAAUUUCGAGGACGAAAUUUAUUAAGAGGGGGAGAAAUGUAAUGACCCAAAAUUCAUGGGCAUCGGAAAAGUAUAAUAUCGGGCCUCCGUCCUAGUAAAUUGAGUCCGAAAAUAAUUAUUAGAAAUAUUUACGAGACUAGUAGUGUGUUUAAUUAGGUUUUAAUUAAGUAAAUUUAGCUUAAUUUAGAGUAAUUAGUAAAAAGGAUUAAAUUGAAUAAGAGUAAAAGUUUAAUUAUAGAUUAAAGGAAAAUAACAGGGACCAAAUGGGCAAUUAAGCCACAUUUGGAAGUUGAGGCGGCAUAACAUUGUAAAAAUCUUAGAUUUUUAUAUUAUUAUUUAUAUAAAUAUAUAAAUUAAUUAUAAAGUAUAUUAUUAAAUUAAUUACAUUAUAAAUAUUAUAUUAUUAUAUAUAAAAGAAACAAAACAGAAAAGAAACAGAAUAGAAAGAACAAAGAAACAGAAUAGAAGAGACGAAACAGGGGAGAAGCAGGGGAGAAAGAAGAAAAAGAAGAAAAAAGGGAAAAUAGGGUUUUUGAAGCUUGAAAUUUAAAUUGGUAAGUCAAAUUAGCCCUUUUCUCUUAAUUCUAAUGUUUUAAAAGCUUUAAAACAAAGUUUUGAUGGAAUUAAGUUGAUAUUUUGUAAGUUCAUAGGUUUUCAAGUAUAGUUUAUGUUGAACAAAAGAGAUGAAUUAGGGAUUAACUUGAAGGAAUUUUAAGUUAGAAUUGAAAAAGGGAUUAAAUUGUAAAAGAAACUAUAAGUUUUAUGUUUUAGGGACUAAAUUGAGGGAAAUUCGAAAUUACCAAAAUAUGCUGAAAUUUUGAUAGUUAAAUUUUAGUUUGGAUGAAAUUUGAAUAGAAAUAGAGUGUGAAUUGAAUUAGGAAAGUAAGUGAAUUUAGUUAGGAUUAAAUUGAGAAUAAGGAAGAAAUUGAAUAGAAAUUUAAUUAUUAUCAUAAUUAGUGCUGAAAUUAAUAGUAUAAAUUAUUAUCAUUUUCGUAGCUAGCAAAGAACCAGAAGCGUCGGCACGGAAGGGAAAAGAGAAGAUUAUCGAGGAGUAAACUCGAGAAAAUUACGGUUUGUAUUACUAUAAUUCAAAUUAUUUAUUUUUUUAUGUUAAAUUUUAAUUUAUGUGUCUAGUAAAUGAAAUGUGAGGUAAGUAUUAAUAUUAGUAUUAGUAUUAUUAUUAGUAUUAUUAUUAUGAGUGGGAAUUAAAUUGAAUAGUUGAUAUAAAAUAAUAUUUGAAUUGUUUGUUGAUUGAAAGCGGGAAAUGAAUUUAAAUCGAAUAGUGACCGAUAUUAAAUUGAAUGGAAAUGUAUUGAGUUGUGAAAGUAUGUUAAUUGCGGAUUAAUUAUUGAUUGAAAGGUGGAAAAAUGAUUGAAUUGAAAGUGUGAAAAAGUGUGAUUGAAUUGAGAAUAUAUGUGAUUUAAAUACCCUAUUAACUAGUCGGGCUGAGUCGGAUAUAGUUGGCAUGCCAUAGGAUUGGAAGAGUUCAGGGAUACUUCGACCUCGAGUCGAUGAGACACUGGGUGUCACUAUAUUUCUUCGGAUAGAUUCGAUGAGGUACUGGGUACCAACUUUCUUCGGCUUUGCCGAUGAGACACUGGGUGUCAACUAUUGCUUCGAACUAUCCGAUGAGGCACUGGGUGCCAUUCUGGUGUGUUUGGUUGGAUCCGUGUAUCCGCCAAAGUCCGAGUUUUGUUAAUAGGGUAAAUGAUGAAAUGAUAAACCGAACGAGUUGGUCAAACGAGCUAUUGAAAUGAUAUGAAAAAGUUGAAUUGUGAAUUGAAAUGUGAAAUGAGAUUGAGAAAUGAACCUAAGGUUCGUGAAUUAUUCAAACUCAAAUUGUGGAUAUACGAUAUUGGUUGAUGAAUUGCUAUUGUUGAAAUAUUUAAUUUAAAUUGUAUAUACGAUUUAUGCUUUACAUGUACAUUAUUGUUAUAAUUUGAAUUAUGGUAAUACCACUGAGUAUGAAUUACUCAGCGUACGGUUGUUUCCGUGCGCAGGUCAAUAGAAGUCAAAGGUCCCGGUUCAGCAUCCAGAUUAAUCCCGGCUUCGGCAAAACUUGGUGAUGUAUUUUCCUUUGGUAAAGGUGGCAUGUACAUAGAUUGUGUAUAAAGGUUAUAUGUUUUAUUAUAUAAUGGUUAAAAAUGUUAGUAUUAAAAGUUUAUGGAUUUUAAUGAAAGAAGUCUAUCUAUUUUAUCUAAUUAGUACAUUGUUAAAUUUUAAAUUGAUAUUGUGUAGAUUGAGUUUGAUUAGAAGUAUUUAGAAUAGAAAAUGUGAAUGUGAAAUGAAUUGGUUGAAUUGAUGAUAUUUGGGAACUAUAUGGUUUUAAUUUGCAGAGGAUUUUAUGUAAAAGUAAGCAGAAAUGCUGCCGAAAUUUUUAUUAAAAAAAAAUAAAGUCAUUUGGUAAACAAACUAAUAAAUUUUAUGAAUUAUUUUAAUAUAUUGGUUAUUUAUUUAAGAAUUGUUGUAAAUCGUUCGAUACGUCCGGUAAUGCCUCAUAACCUCGUUCUGGUAACAGUUUGGGGUUAGGAGGUGUUACAUAAAAAAAACGAUACGAUAUAAUAAUAACGUAAAGAAAAUAAAAUAAUAAUAUUUAUAAUAAAAAAAAUAAAAGAGUGUAUUUAAAAUCAUAUAUAUAAUAUUAUUGGAACUAAUAUUAAAAAUUAAAGUAGCAAAGAUAAUAUAAAAAUCAACUUAAAUUAAAAAAAGAGACUAAAUUCGAAUUAAAAACGAAGUUUUGGGGCAAAUUUAAAAAAAAAUGGCCUAUUUAAAUGUGCGUGAAACAACAGAGGGCCUAAAGUGCAAUAACCCCCUUUAUAAAAUGCACAUCAUCAGCUAGGAUUAAAUUGAAAAUUGCGACAAAUUUUGGUGCCAAAUUAAAAAUAAAUAUAAUUUAAUUGCAAAGUAAUAAAAAGCGGAGGGGCUAAACGCGCAAAUAGCCCCUCCAAUGAAAACACGCGGAUCCUGAAGUUGGAGCAGGUCGGGUCGCGGGUCGACCAUGGGUUAAGAGCCAAAACGACGUUAUUUUAGCAUUAGUGGCUUAAACCUAAAACGACGUCGUUUUGAUGGGGCUAUAUAAGUCAAAAUUCCUAAAAAAAAACUCAUUUUUCCCAUUUCAUAAAAAAAAACUAACCCCAUUUCUCUCAAACUCUCUCAAGGCCUUCUCCCUCCGACCAAACUCCGGCUUCGUCCGCCGCCAUCCGCCGCCGUCGGCCACCGUCGUUGGCCACCGCGCACGGUGGCCGAAAAUUUAAAAAAGGUUUUUUUUUAUAUAUUUCUUAUAUAUAUACCUUGAUAUAUUUUAAUACAUGAAUGAGAAGAGAUGGAUUCGAAUAAUAAAAUAAAAAAGAAAAGAAAAAAACCUUAAGCCGGUUUGCACUUCUUUUUUUUUUGGCUUUGUUAUUAUCUUUUUUUUUUGUAUUGCUUGCUGUUUUUUUUUAAGAAAAAUCUUCAGAGAGAUUACACUUUUUUUUUUCAAUCUCUUUUUUUUUUAUCAAAAAAACCCCCUCUUCCUUUUUACAAUAUUCUUGUUUUUGUACCCAAAAAAAUCCAGGAUUUCAGGCUUUGUAGCCGAAAUACCAUGGAUUUGCUACCUAUUUCCUUGUUUUCUUGCUUCUUUUCUGCCCUUUUUUUUGUUUUUUUUCUUUCUUUUGACUUUUGCAGGUGUAAGUGGAGCAAGUGGAGGUGGCUAGGUUUUUUUUUUUUACUGAAAAUUAGUUAAGGUUGUGGGCUAAUUGGGCUUUUAGGGUUUUAAUAUUUGGGCUGUAAUUGAGUAUUGUAUUUAUUUAUUUGGUUUAUUGAGUCCCGGGCAAAAUUUGGGCCUUACAAAGUUAAUUUUUAAUAUAUUUUGUAUUGUUUUUUAUUAUACACAAUAUAAUAUUAAUAAACUAAAAAAAUUGAAAAUGAAAAAACUCAUCUCUUCCUAUCCUUUCCCUCUCCUCCUCCCUCUACAUGUCCAUCUCACCAUCUCUAAUCAGAUUUUUCACCAAAAAGAGAACUUAUUUCGUUGAUUCGAAGAUGAAGAAACAAAGGGAUUAAAAAAAAGUGUUUAAAAAAGUGAAAGAGAAUGAUAAAGUUCCUUCAUGAAGGGCAAAAAAGUGAUAAGUGAAGAGUUGAGAGCUACGGGAGCUUUUAAAGUUUAAUGGGUUUUCCUACACCUAUAGAGAGAAUGGUGAGGGAGAAAUGGAAAGGGGGAGAGAAAGGGAGAAGGGGAUAAAUGAGAAGGGAGAGUGUAAUAACUCUAUUUUUAAUGGGGUCGAAAAAUAUAGUUUUGAAAUUUUAUUUUCGUAAAUUGAGUUUAUAAAUAUAAAAUAAGAAUAUUUAUGAAGUUAAUAUAAAAAUAUAUUGAAAAUAAUUUAAUUGAAAAAAUAGUUAAUUAAAGCUUAGAGACUAAAUGGUAAAUAUUCAAUUGCUAUUGAGUUUUAAUUAAGAAAAAGCUUAGGGACUUAUAUGAUAACUAUCCAAAGAACUAAAAUAAAUAUUUAACCAUUGUUUUCUUAUAAUUAAUGGAUGAUGAUGUUGAUUUCAAUUUAAUUAAUUAAUGUUUCACUAAUUAUAAUAAUAACUUAAUUAAAUUAACUAAUUAAGGUUAAUUAAUAUUUAACCGUGGUUUAAAUACUGAAUCAAGUGGAGAAAAUAUGAUUUUCAUCAUCUUCUUUACCGUCCACUUUAGGAAACAGAGAAAAUCCACAAUUAUUGAAGCUUUAAACAUACGAUCACCUAUUCAAGUAGGUUCAUAAGCUAUUUUUCUUUGAUUUUUAUAGAAAUUGAAUCAUGGGAGUUUAAUCUAGCUAGCCUAUAUAUCAAUUUAUUCAAUUGUUGAAUUUUUAAAAAAAGUUGCCACUAAUGAAAAACUAAUGAAUUAGACCUGAAUUUGAUUGAUAUCAAGUUUAGAUCAUAAUAAAGACUAAAUUGUAUAGCUAGAUAAUCUUGAUAAUUAACUUUUAUAAUAUUAGGGACCAAAUUGAAUAAAUUUGAAAACAUGUCAUGAGAUUAUGCUAUGAAUAGGAAAUAUAGGGUUCCUAAUGAAAGAAUGUAAAAUCAGAUUUUGGUUCGAAACUAAAUAUCGAAAAAUAUGCAUAUCCUGAGUAUAGAGACUGAAUUGAAUAAAAUAUAAAAUAUGUGUGGCUUUGUAUUUAGAUGUAGAUUGAAUGAAAUAUGAUAUUAUUGUAUUUAUUGAAUUAUCAAUCGUAAUGAAAGGCGACGCUAAACCGUCCUAAGAGAAAAGAAAGACGAGAGUUGUUGACGAGUAGCUGAAUUAUUAGUUUGUGCUUUUAUUAUUCGAGUACAAUAUGUGUGUGUGUGUGUGAACAAUGGUGUUAAAUAUGUGAUGAUAUGAAUUUGAUAAUUAUAAGUUAAAUGAAUUGAUUUGUGUUGAUAAUACUGAAUGAUAUUGAAUAUCGAGAAUUUAGACUAAACUAAAUAUAGUAUAAAAAAGUGUGAUAUUAUUGAUAUAUGAUAUAUCAUAUGAAUUAUGAUAUUGGAUAUUGGAUAUUGGAUAUUGGAUAUUGGAUAUUGGAUAUGAAUUGAUAACGAAAUGAAAUGAGAGUAUGAAAUAUGGAUGAUUGAUGCAUAUGUGCAUAUAUGUAAAACAUGAAUAUAGAAUAUAUGUUGAAGAUCAUGCGAUUCAGAUAUUAUGAUAGUAUGAAAUGAUAUCAUAUGUGCAUAUAUGUAAAACUGAAUAUGGAAUGCAUGUUGAAAAUCAUGCGAUUUAGAUAUUAUGAGCCUUGAGGGCCGACAAAAAAAUGAAACGAAUCAAAUGAUUUGAGGAAGUGUGAAUAAAAGAACAAAUAGCUAGAAUGAGAAGCAAUAAGAUAAAGAUGUUACAUUCUAGUAAUGUAUGAGAUACUAUGUGUAUGUAACUUGAUCAAUUAGGAACUUUGCAUAAAUUAUGGUACUUGGUAUAAAUGGUAUAUGAAUUUGAUUGAAUGCAAAACUUGAAUUGAUUAUGUAGAUGUGUAUAUAUUGGGCUAAAUGGAAUCAUGCAUAUAAUUGGUAUUUGGCAUGAAUAUUGUAUUAAUUGAUAUAUAUAUAUAUAUAAACUUGUUGAAAUAGAAAUGUAACAUGUAUUACUUGUGUUCAUAUGGUAAUGUUACCUUAUUAUUGGCUUGAAUCAUGGAAGUGUCACUGAGCUUUAUCGCUUAUCGUACGGUUUGUUUAUUUUGUGCUUAGGUCUAGGUGAAUCUCAAGGUUACGAGAAGCGAUCCAACAUUCGGAUAGUGACACUUGACUUAGCAAUGUUCGUAUAGUUUCCUUUGUUUCGGUAAAUGGUACUACCUAGGUUUGAGUCGGUUUUGUAUCAAAUGGUCAUUUUGAGUCCGAAAUUGUUAAUGUAAUGUGAGUUUAAUGUUAUAACUUGUUAAAUACAUAUAAAAGUUUAGCUUAAGUAUUUGAAAAGGAUUUGAUGUUUGAAAUGUUGCAAUAGAGCAUAUGAUGACUUGGUUUUAAGUUGAAAUGGUUAGUUAGAUGUUUUUGAAUGAAAAUGAUGAUGAAAUGGUCUUAAUUGGAAACAUGUAUCUUGUUGAAAUGGUUGAUUUGAAGUAUGGAUUGUUUGUACAAGUGUUAUAAAAAUGGUACCAUUUGGACUUUUUGAAAAUAAAUGGUCACGUUGUGAUGUUGGGACCUUAACGUCACGACGAGAUCAAGUCAAUAAGUUGUGUCGCGACGAGGAACCCCAGAAGUCACGACGUCAACCUGAUAGUUUGCAAACUUUACAAUUUAAUUCUAAUUUGACCCUGAGUUAGAAAAAAACGCUUUCGUAAGCUCGUAUAAGACCCAGAAAUGAUUAUAUAGAAUAUCGUGAAUGUGUAAUCUACUUGCCAAUAUGUGUAAAUGGUUAAAGUGUGUAGUAAUUGAUCGUAGUUGCUGUAGCAACAAAUAUGACAUCCUAUAACUCAGACUCGAUGACCAGAUCUGGUAUGAGGUAUUACAGUGAAAGGGGAGAAAUGGGUUUUUCAUUUCCAGUUUUUUUUUCUUUUAUUAUAUUAUAAGUAUAAUAAAAAUCUUCAUUAAAAUUAAUACAAUUAAAAGCCAUUGAAAAGAAAAACACUUAUCAAGUGUUGAUUGGAUAAAAUUUGUAUACUUAAUGAUGUUAAACCUAGAUACUUAUAUGUUUAACGGAAACAAAAAAUAAGUACCUAAUUGGAACAAAAAAAAUGUACCUAAACCUUAAACCUUACCAGAAAAAAAGUACAAUGCAUAUUUAUUCCUCCUUAUGAUAACACCACUUAGUAUCUUAAAACCUAUGUGUUUGAAUCUUGCAUAAACUUUUCAAAUAAUCACUCAAACAAAUUUGUUAAAUGUUUAUAUCAUCAUUUUUUUGGAGGAUAUGAGUGGUGAAGAAUUUUGGGUAAAAAUGGUUUGAUCAUUCUUUAAUAUAUACCAUCCUUUCAACUAAACUAGGCAUAUAACAUUAUAUUCAUACACUUUUGUUGGACUUUUUAUCUAAAAAUAGGCCACACAUUUAAUAGAAUAUGUGCUAUUACCAAGAUACGGCAAUACUUUUCUAGCACUAAGAUAUAGUACUUUGAGAUCAACUUAGAUGUGUGACUUUCAGACCAAGGAUUUCUUUAUCAUCCUAUUAAAAAUUAUAUAUUUCCUUUAUUCACAUCUCUCAAUCUUAUAACCACUGGGGGACUCAAUAGAUGUGCUUUAUCUAUAUAAGAUUUUUUAAUAUCAUAUUUGUAGUUGUCGAUUUAUGGGAAUGUUUCUAUAUAGUAAGUGCUUGAUAUGCAAGUUGAGACAAAUUUUAUUUUCCACGUUCUUUUAUCUUAAAUCAUUUCUUUAAAUAAUUUAUUAUUUCGUAAAUCAUAAUAAACUUUAAUCAUGAUCAUUUAUAAAAAUAUAUAUGAGUAAAUUAUAUCAUUUUAUAAUAUUCUUUUAACUAUUAUUCACAUUUACCAUAUAUGCCCAAAUCAUUUCAAUUAGUAUAAAUACUUAUAGGAACGUAUUAAACGAUUUCUUGAAAUUUUCUAUAUGCUUUUAGGAUUCUAGAUUCUUUAGAGAUUUCAAUAUCUACUCAACUAUAUAGUGAUUUAUAUAAAAGGUUAUAACAACAACCAUUAGACAUAUGUUAAAUUUUUCAUGAACUAUCUGACAAAAAGAUAUUUAAAGUUUAUUGCAUUCACCACAAAAACAACAUUGUAUCCUUUCAUAAUCAAUGCCAGGACUUUGCAAAAAUCAUCAUAUUACAAUUCGUGGCUUAUAUCUUAAAAUUUCAAUAUUCUUAUUUUGUUUUCGCAAGAUUAUCAAAUUGUACCCUCAAUGACUUUACACAUUUAGAUAUUUGGACUACUAGUUCAAAAACUUCAUAAUUUAGAAGUGAUUUAAUUCUACUUGACAAGUUUAUAUUCAAGUUUCUUAUUUCUUUAAUUAUUUUAACAAUAAUAUUAUAUGUAAAACCACUAUUGACAAUUUUUCGUUUCAUUCCAUAUUUUUUCAUGAUAAUAUAGCUUAUUGAGAUCUCUUCAUUUUCACAAUUUUUGCUUUCAUGUACUUAAUUCCCUUCUAGAAUUCUAAUGAUUAAUUAUUUCGUGAAUCUCUUCUAGAGCACUUACCAAAAUUAUAUGACCAUUUUAAUUUAUUGCGUGCUUUUUUGAACCAAUUAAUCUAACAUGGUUUAGGCAUCCAUUGUUUUCAUUUAUUCUAAUAUCUGGCGUGUUGGUAAUUCAAUUCAGAUAAAAACAUUAGCGUAUUAAUAACACAUUAAACCUACUUUCCAUGAAAAAAUAACACGUCACCUUUUGUGUAUUUAAAUAUGACAAAUCAAACUGUUACAAAUAAUGCUUAUUAAUAACUAGUAACAUAAAUAUAUUUCUUUUUUUUAAAGAUAAAUAAUAUUUUAUUACAAAAAGAAUUUAUAUUGGUAUGAUGAAAAAUCGCCACAAUUUUUUUGAGAUGUCACAAAAAUAUUUCCCACCAAAAUUUUUUAGAGGUAAAUUUUUGUGCCAAACAUAUAAUAAUGUAAAUUUAUGACAUUUGUUGAUAUUAUGAUAUAAGAUAUACUAUCAACCAUUAAAUGUGAUGAUUAAUUGUUUCCAUCACAUUUGUGGUAUAUUCUGUGAUGGCUGUUUUAAGUGCCACAUAGAAAAUUUGUCGUUAAUUGAUACAUAUGUUGUAGUGUUAAUAACAUAUCAUCAUCAUAAGUUUGUCAAAAAAAAUGCCAAGACUCCAUGUUUUCUUUCUCCACAAUCACAAAUGCUAUCAAAAUGGUGUUUCGGUUCUUGUCUUAAGCAACAACAAUUAGAAGGAUUUGCGUAUAAUUACUAUACAUCCAAGUCCCAUUUAUUUGGACAAUCGGCUUAGAAAUUGGCCAUGCCUUAAUCGAUGGAAUAUUUUCAUGCCCUCCAUUAGUUGAUCGAAAGGAUCGCAUGCAACGAGGGUUUGUAAUUCGACUACAGUACUUGGUGCAAACUGUUUCAUUGCCACUAACCAUGACAACAACUCAUUGUACGAGUUGUCUCAAUCUUCAUAUAAUUGGGAAAUGACCUUUUGUUUCACAUACCAAGCUUUCUGAUAACUGACAAUGUAUUUAUACCGAGAUUGCAUGUCGACGAUCAGAACAACAACUAGAUUAGUCAAGCUUACCUUCACCGAUGACAAAUUAAGUUUGAAUCUAAUUUUUGAUGAUCCUAUGAAAGCCGAGCUAAAAUGUAUGUGUGGGGUAUGUUCUAUUUUUAGAUUUUCCAAACUUUUGUCAUCUUCCUUAGCCUAGCCCUCACUCUCCAAUUACACCUAUUCUCGUAUACUUCCAGCACUCGCCAACUUACAAAGUCAGUGAAGAUAUUGUAGUUUUAUAAUUAACACCAGCUUUGAUGUUAUAGUGCUUGAUGGCUACUACAACUACAUCAUUUGAUAGAAAUCAUGCCCAUAGAUAUAUAUUUUCGAAUUUUGCAACUAAACUUAUCAUAUAGCUUGGCUCUAUAUUAGGAUAUUUCAAAAUUUAUAAUACCUCAAUUUCAUUUAUGUCAAUGUUAUGCAUGUGAGAUGGAGAUUCGUGGAGACAAAGAAUGAUACAACCUCCUUCAACUUUUGAGAAGUUUACAACAAUGUUGUCAUUGGCAUAAUUGUCAUCAUCAUCGUUGUCGUCGUCGUCGACGUUGGCAUUAGGAACACCUUUGAUCUAGGGAUCACUAGAUUCAUUAAUAUCUUUGUCUUCAUCUAAAAGUUCGUAUCACUCGUCGUCAAUGUUCAAAUUAAUAGGAAUCAACGAUGUUGAUAGUGCAACAUACUAGUACAGACUAUUUAAUGAUUCGUUCGAGUCAAGAUCUAACCUACAUAUAGACAAUCGUCUUCCUAUUAGUGCAUAUGGCAGCUUUGCAUAUGGGGCCUCAACCUUGUAUAGUUCACAUAUAGUUAGAGAAAUAUUAAAGACAAGCAUGGAUGGACUUGAAAUAUCACCUACUACGCAACCUUGCUAGGCAUCAUACAACUCAACGUAUUGCAUCAUUUUCGAAUGAAAAAUGGGCUGAUAUCAUAGUCGCGACAUCAUAAUCAUCAUCAAGCUCAAGUGUGCCAUAGAUGAGUGGAUUUAACAAUGUUUUAAAUCUAUACACCAAUAUAGGCAACAUCCCCCGUCAUUGACCUGCGAUUUUUGAAUUGAUCUUUGACGCUAGUUCAUCAAGUUUGACAGUUGUAUCGGAACACUUACUUAUUUGAUGUCUCGAUUGAAAAACAAUGUCAACUUCAAUGUUACAAAUUUCUCCAUUAUAAUAGAUUGUUACAAAGAAUUUGUUGGCUAUCUUUGAACCUUAGACUUGUAAAAAAUUAAUAGCAAUAAAUUAAUAUAAAUUAACAAUACUUAAUAUAAAUAUAAAAAAUUAGAAAUACUUACUUAAUAUUCUCAAAAUUAAAUAAAUGCUUAAAACAAAAUUAAAGGUUGUCAUAGUAAGAUGGAGUGAAAUUGUAGACUCGAAAAUGUGGCUAUCUUCAUUUUUUUUUCUUGCCUAAAACUCCUUAUAUGUUUUGAAGUGGGAACAUAGAGGGUUUUAUAUAACUUUGGGGGUAGAUUUGCCAAUCAUAUCGACAAAGACUACCAUUCCCAUACACAUAGUUUCACCAAUCAUAUCGAGCUAGGACAAAAGCAUCAACCAUUCCCAUACACAUGCAGGCAACAAGCAACAUCCUGGGUAGCCCCAAACCCAAGUAUAAAUUAUCACGUGUCUUCCUCUUCUUCAUCUUCACCUUCUUUAUUAUUAGUCUUCAAAAAAGCCUACUUACUUUCACCAUUGCAAUACACUCUUUCCCUAACUUAAGUAUCAUACAACAUCUCGAAAUACAACGUCUGAUGAAUCUGGGCAGAAAAUCCGAAAAAGCAUAAAUAAAUGUUAUUCACUAUUUUGGGCUGAAGAAAGUAAUUUGGGUAGACCGAAUCCAAACCAAAGUCUCAGCCCGAAUGAAUUGGGUUUAAACUUUCCGUUGGCCCAAUUCAAUAUAAUUUCAAUACUUAGCUAGGGUUUAUUACUUUUGCUGAUAUUAUAUAUUUCUCCUCAACCGCAAAUUUCAUAGUGCGGCUAGGGUUUUCUCUUCUCUGGUAGUUUCUCUAUAUCCCUGAACGACUCCAUUUUUCUUGUUAGAUCUAGUUCUGAUACGUCCUUUUUUUUUAAUUUCUGGAUGACUUGAUAACUUUGUUUUACAGGUAAAUGUUAUAGUUUUGUUCGUGGAAAGAACAGAGAUUCAGAGAUGAGGUAAUUUUUAAAUUCUGUCGUUUUAUUUUUCUUUCAUUUUUAUCUUUUGGGGUUAUCUGCUCAUGCUUUGUUUUCUUUGUAACAAGUUGAAUCUAAGUUACCCAAUUUUAUAGAUGUUUGUUUUUCUGAUAAAUUCCUCUUCAUUAUUAAGUUGUUUAUUAGGAUUUUAAUCUUGUUUUAUAUUUAAUGGACUUGAACUAGACGAGUUUUAGCUCCUUUUAGUCGUUUGUGUUUUAUAGGAUGACCUGUUUCGUACUUUCAUCUCUGAAAAUAGGAAAUGGUCUUGUUGCUAAGUGGUAGUGGUUUUCACUCUUAGACGACACUUUAUGUUUUGGCUAAUUGAUUAGACUGGUUUUAUCCCAUUCAAUGUCUUUAUGUUGGAAAAUUUUAACUUAGGCUCUGUAAACCUUGUUAGUUGUGAAUUUGGAUUACAGUGAUGGUUAGUGUUUAUGUUAUUGUCUGGAGAACUGCGUCGAACAAAGCAUAGUAUUCGGGUGUUCAUUGUAUGAUUAAGAGUUGUUUAUGUUGCUUGUAUUGACUUGUUUAGAGUUUUAUUUCCUAAAAGAUUUUUGGUUUUGUCAUUUACAGUAAGCUUCAGAGUGAUGCCCUUAGAGAAGCUAUUUCAACCAUUGUAGCUCAGUCCAAGGAGAAGCAGCGUAAGUUUAUUGAGACUAUUGAACUCCAGAUUGGGUUGAAAAACUAUGAUCCCCAAAAAGACAAGCGUUUCAGUGGUUCCGUGAAGUUGCCACACAUUCCUCGACCUAAAAUGAAGAUCUGCAUGCUUGGAGAUGCCCAGCAUGUUGAAGAGGUGAUUUUGCAGUAUUCUCUGAUAAAGCUUUGUUUGCUUACAUUGCUUGAAACUGUCCUUUGUUUUUUGGACUCAAGCAUAGGAGUUAUGUGAAAGUCUCUACCUUUGAGUUCUGAUUUGUGCAAUGAGAUUAGUUGUUUAAAUGGUUUAAUUUGUACUGCAGGCAGAGAAGAUAGGUUUGGAUUAUAUGGAUGUUGAAGCACUGAAGAAGCUAAACAAGAACAAGAAGUUGGUCAAAAAGCUUGCCAAGAAGUAUCAUGCUUUUUUGGCUUCUGAAUCUGUUAUCAAGCAGAUCCCUCGUCUCCUGGGUCCUGGUCUCAACAAAGCCGGCAAGUAUUGCAUCUGUUUUUAGCAAAUUUUAGGUGAUGCUGGGGGGGCUAAGUUAAUGGGAUUUGCCUGUGUCUGUUGUGAUUUUUGAGCUGAGAUGUUACAUAGCUGAUUUUAUGCAUGAAUGCAGGGAAAUUCCCAACCCUUGUUACUCACCAGGAAUCGCUAGAGUCCAAAGUGAAUGAGACCAAGGCGAUGGUUAAGUUCCAGCUGAAGAAGGUUCUUUGCAUGGGAGUUGCCGUUGGGAAUGUUGCGAUGGAGGAGAAGCAGAUCUUCCAAAAUGUGCAAAUGAGCGUCAAUUUCCUGGUUUCAUUGUUGAAGAAAAACUGGCAAAACGUAGGUUUUCUUAGCUUUUGUUUGUUUAGGUUGCCUGGUUACUCCUUCCAUACAAAGUUCAUCUUUAUUAAUGAAUUUGUGUUAAUUGCAGGUGAGGUGCCUCUACUUGAAGAGUACCAUGGGCCCAUCAAACAGGAUCUUUUGAAUUGGUAGUUACCCAUGUGUUAAGAGUUUUGUAUGUGGACAAAUUUUCUGCUAUGUUUUGUCGUUGGAAUCUUAGAGUUGUGAUUUUGAGACAUUGGAAGUUUUGUUUUGCAUAUCAACAUAAAAUGUCAAUUUCCAUCUUUUUUUUUAAUGAAUGGUGGCAUAUUGGAUUGGCUCAUUGGAUGGCGGAAAAUAGUUAUUUGGGAAUGGUUAUGGCUGUGGUUUUGCUGGAAAAUGUUGUUCUGCAUAGUAGAGUUUUAAUGAACUACAUUCAUUACACCAUGACCGCUGAUAAUCAUUUAGAAAUAUCAUCUCGGAAUUCUAGCUAGCUAGGGAUGGUAACAAGACGUCAAAACAUAUGUUAUAUAAAUGUAACUUUAUAUUUUUAUAAAAUUAAAGUUAAUCAUUAAAAAUAUAAAAAUAAUUGUAGAAGAAAAGAAAAAGGAUAUUUUAAUACUAGUAUUGAAAAUGGAAGACUUUCUGCUCACUAAUUUCAACAAAAUUUUGCACAAGGGAUAGGUAUAAUUGUAGUUAAUUAUUCAACUAAUGAGUUAUUUGAAGAGUUGUAGUUAAAUUGAAAUUUAAAAAUUUAAUCAAAAUUUGUCGAAUCUAAUAUGACAAUUAAGAGUAUUAAUAAUUACUGCUUUAUAAAAAAAAAUAUGAAUUUUAACAACUACUGUAGAAAAUUCCAAAAUAAAAUACCAUUUUCUAAUCGUCUUCGUAGAAGUAUAUUUCAAAACUAACUUCCUCUGAUAUCAUUGUAGUAUGUAAAUUAAUUAUAUGUUCUCUUUCUACAACUAGUUUUUUAAUUCUCUAAGUGAUUAAAAAUCUCCGUAUUUUAUAUAUUUUUCACUUGCAAAAAUUUAGAAACCUAAAACAGAAUCUCAAAAACAAAUUUGAGAAGUUUCUCGUAGCCGACCUUAGCUCAGUUGGUAGAGCGGAGGACUGUAGUGGUAAAAGUCAGAGCAAUCCUUAGGUCGCUGGUUCGAAUCCGGCAGGUCGGAAUUUUUUUUAACUAUACUUUUAUAAUUGGGUUAAUAUGCGCUUUGAUAUCUUAAUUUUGCUUCAAUGUUCAAUUUAGCAACCGGGUCUUUUUUUUUUAAUCAAUUUGGUACAUAUGUUUGGUAGAGCGGAGGACUGUAGUGGUAAAUGUCAGAGCAAUCGUUAGGUCGCUGGUUCGAAUCCAGCAGGUCAGAACCUUUUUUAACUAUACUUUUAUAAUUGGGUUAAUAUACUCUUUGAUAUCUUAAUUUUGCUUCAAUGUUCAAUUUAGCAACCAGGUCUUUUUUAUUAUUAUCAAUUUGGUACAUAUGUUUGAUUUCAAUAUUCAUUUUGAUACUUCAAAUAUUUUUGGUUCCAAUUAAAAGUUUAGCUUUAAUGUUGAAAUUGGUAUUUGAGUGUUUUAGUCCCAAUUAUAUACUUGUGGUUUUUUAAACUAGAGCACAAGUGUUAAAUGUUUAUUGGGCUAUAUGAUACCAUUUAAUCUAAGUACCAAAUUGAACAUUGAAAAACAAGAAACUCAGGUGACAAGUUGAAAAAAAAAUUCAGGUACCAAGUUGAGCAUUGAAGCCAAACUUAGGUACCAAUGAUAUAUUAAUCAUUUAUAAUUCUACCAUUAAAUAUUAGGACUUAAUAUAUCAUUUGGUACCCAAUUUUGACACUUUUUUUUCAAUAUGAUACUUGUGUUUUUUUGUCCAAUAUUAUACUCAUAUUUGGUAAACACUAAAAAGUUAACACCGUUAGAAACUAAAAUUAAGCAAGAUUAUAAGUGCCAUAAGUACCAUGAAAAAAAAUAAAGACCAUCACAUUGAAAACCCAUAAGUACCAUAAAUACCACACUGGACAAAAAAAAACAUGAGUACCAUAUUCGAAAAAAAAAAGUACUGAACUUGAGCACUGAACAAUAUAUUGAGCCAAAUAUUUAUAAAGUUGAAAAACCAUCUCAAAUGAUUAAAAAAAAAAGUCGAUUGAGCUUUAGCUCAAUUUGCAUCAUUGAUAUUGCAGCAAUGAGUAGGAUGCAGGUUCGAGCAUACUUAAGUUAUUUUUCUCUAAUUUAAAAGUUGGGGAGAGAUUAUUUGUAAAAGUAGGCAUUAUAACACCCUUUGCCCAAGAUAAAUUGAUAACUACAAAAAAUUUAUUAUUUAGGGUAAACUAUAAAAAUAUCUUAUGCUUAUUUAUAAUUUUGUAUGUAUUUUUAUAAAAUAUUAUGCUUUUUGUCGAAAAAUGAGCAUUUGAAUAUUUUUUUUAUUUUUCAAUUUUUUUAAAAUUUUAACAAUCAAGACUAAAUUGACGGAAUGCGUAAAGUUGAGGACUAAAUUUGUUGAAACUUUAUAGUUUUAGAAUUAAAUUUGUUAUUUUUCCAAUAAGAGAAGGCCAUUGUUAGUGAUUUAAUGAAGGAGUGACCAAAAUUGUAACACCUUGUACUCGACCUGGUAGCCAGGUCUGAGCUACAGUGUAUAACGUUCUUUGCCGAAGCAACUACAGUCAAUUCAUAAUUAAAUUUAUACAAUUGGCAUGAUAAUUAUCAACAAGUAUACAUUCCUUAUUCAAACUAAAGUAGACCUAUAUUUCAUUUAUAUAUGCACCUAAUCACAUACAACAAAUCCACCAUAUAUAUAUUAUUACUAGAGUAUAAGAUAUAACAUUUGAUUAUAACAUCAUUCAACUACCACAAAACCUAACCUAUUAGGUACAUGCCAAAUAUAAGUAAUGUUGAAAACUAACAAAUAUGACUAAGGCCGAGAUUAUGGAUCAGAUGCUUUGGUCGAUGCAUAGAAAUCCUAAAUUAGAUCUAACCUGUGCAUAGAGAAAGCAAUCUGUAUGCUGAGUAAAACAUUUAUUGGGUUUUCUAUAAUUUAAAUAGAUACUAUUAACAUUAACAAUUCUACAUAAAUAAACGUGUAUAUCUAUAUGCUUAUAUUUACCAUAUAACUUAAAGUUACCAAGCUUAACAUUCUCGAUAAUAAACUUGUUAUGUGAACAAAGCUAACACUUCUUCCUGCUUCAAUACAAUUCAAGAGACAAAUCAUUAUACUUGUAAUAAUAAUUUAAAACUAAUCUGUAACACUUCGUAAUUCAACCCAAUAGUCAACCAAUAGUCAAGUCUGAUCGCGGAACCCAAGCUACAAAAUAUUACCACAGAAUAAAACGCUUACCAUUUAUAGAAAUUAAUUUCAUUUAAACAUCAAAUCGUGUCAUAAUUCCAUGAUUAGAGCAUACAAAAGCUCUUAGGUUGACCCAAGAACAAAUAAGGACUAAACUGGAAACUAUAUAAAUAAAAAUGGAAAUUUUGCAAAAUAAAGAUCACACAAACAUGUAAGUCACUAUGGCCGUGUGAACCAAAAUCGAUUAAUUCUUCCAAUAGUCACACAGUUGUGUCACCAACCCGUAUGUCACACACACGGCUAUGUGGUCAAACCAUGUGGUUCCGAAAUCUCCUACAUUCCAAUCAUUACACAUCAUUACACAAUUGUGUCACCAGCUCGUGUGGUACAAAAAUGUACCACUUUGAUCCUUAUUCAAGUCAAAUAUUCCAAAACCUCAAAACAUACAUUUUUGUAAACUAAAAACCUGCACAAAGCAUCUCAAAACCAAGCCAAAACAUGUUAUAUAUAAUUCUCUUAAACAUCUAACCAAUAUGCCACAUUGACACUGUAACAGGCCAAUUUGCCCGGCCCCUUUGAAACCCAAAAUAAAUAAACAAAAACCCAAAUAAAAUUAUAACAGUCCAUCAUAUGUCCUUUUACAGACUUUGACCCAAACUAAUACCCCAAACCGAACCCUAUACAAGCCCAAAUCAAUACCCAAUCCCCAAAUAAAACCCACGGUCCAAAGACAAUGGUCCAACACCCAAAAAUGAGCCCAAACGGCCCCAAAUACUGAAACCAAGACAGAAACCCUAGCAGUUCCUGCUUGCACCGCAGCAGCCCCGGCCUCCGUACCGCCUCCGUACCCUCAGCAGCGCCAUGCUCUCGUACACACGCCAACACCACCCCGUACCUGCAAAUACAGAAAAACGACAGCAGCAAAUACAAACAAAAAUUGUAUUUCUUUCUUUUUAUUUCCUUUUAAUUCUUUUUUCUUUUUUUCGGCUACAAAGCCAGGAUCUUUAAUCCUUGUAAUGGGUUACAAAAAAGGAACGCACAAAAAUAGUAGCAAUACAAAGCAAUCAAAAGCAGAGGAGGUGAUUUCCGCUAUCCACUUUCCUAUGGUCUUUUCUUUCCUUUUACUAGUAUUUGCUCACAUCUUUCAUCGAUAUAUUUCAAAAAAAAAUAAACAAAAGAGAAGGAAAAGCGAAAGAAAUCUUUCUUUCUAUCAGUAUUUACCUUGCGAAUCCGUCUUCGAUCCUCUGUCGUUUCGUCGAAAUCGAAGCUAGGGGGUUUUGAGGUCGAAGAACAAUACGCCAAAACCCGAAACACAAAACGUCGUUCUCGAUGGCGAUUUGGUGUUUGAGGAGGCACUUUAGGGUUUGGCUAAAGGAAAGGGAUAGCAAAGAGUGGGAGAAGGUGGCUAGGGUUCAGCCGAACAGGCUUAAGUGAGCCUUUAUAGCGAAUCAAAAACGGCGCCGUUUGAGCAUGCUUCAAUGGCUCUGAAACGGUGCCGUGUACCAAGGUCCGACCCGAUCCGGCUCCUAACCCUCAGGAUCCGCGCGUUUGCUGCGGUAAAGGGAAAGUUUCACAUUUAGUCCCUUCCUUUCGCGUUGGUGCUCAAUUAGGUCUAGUCCAG
rnacentral:lncRNA from 1 species